rnacentral:lncRNA from 1 species
AUUUCUUUGGUUGAUGUGUUCAGAUCUCGACCAUGUGUGGAAAAUGAAGUUAUUGCUUGACGGGAAGGCAAUGAUGGGAGUUCUGCAGCUUAAAUUGGGAGGGCCAUCAAUUGGGAAAUGGGUAAAACAAGUUCCUGUUAUGUUAGAAGCUGAUCUGAGCUUUUCUAUCUGCUUACAAUUAUUAAUGCUUGUUUGCAGCGACAAAGGCUGCUAAAGUGGCAGCUCGCCCAUCCGAACGGAACGAUGGAAGAGUGCAUUGAUUGGAUAAAGCAAUCUCAAGCGAAAUGCCAGAAAAUAGAUUGUUCCGCUUGAACAUGUUCCCCUUUGCGGCUUGUCUUCUGCCUAAUUCUAACUUGUCUUCGCCCUAAUUUAUCCAAUCAAAAUCCCCAGAAAUCUUGUGGAGUAAUUUACAAAAGCAUGACUUGAUUUGCGCAUCAACGAGUGGCAUGAAGCAUCAGUAUUUUUGCUGGAGAGCUAAGUUUACAGCUUGGAGAUUGUAACCAUCAUCCUCAUCUUGCGUGUUUUUUUUGUUUUUUUUUUUGUGGGGNAGUAGGUGUUCCACAACACAACCACUUUAAAUUCCUAGCUUCUCUACCACGCUUUACGUAGCUCAACUACUUACCUUCUACCAAACAAAAGUUGGAGAGUUGCGUUUACGUCUCAAAUUUUAACCAAAAUUUAAUUGAUCUGUGUUAGUUUACGUUCGUUGAGGUCCGGUGUCAAGUAUGGAUCAGAAAAUGGAUAAUUACUUACCCGGAGUGCCAUGGACUUGGUUUUUUUUAUUGUCCAAAUUGUCACGUUUGGACCAGUAUAUCUUCCUUUUAUAUGGGCUCAAAUAAUCGUCAAAUUUGAGAGUCUAAUCCUUAUCCUUUGACAACUAUUGAAGUUUUUAGUUCGAUAUUAAUCCUUAAUGUUCAUGACUCCGAAAGCGAUUAAGAAAAGUGAGUCUCUAGCCAAAUAAAAUAUAGACUGCCAAAAUUUCUUGUUUGUUUUCGUUACUCGUUUCCCGAUAAUAUAAUAUGACAACGGCUAGUUAGUUUUACCACUAGUGGUAUGGAUUAAUACAGUGUUCGACAAUUUUGUAUAAUGUGCGGAACAAGAAAGUUAAUAUGAAAAACAAGUUUUAGAUAUUUUUUCCGGUAGGAUAAUCGUCUUUCCCCUAGCAUAAUCGCCUUUCCCUGAGUCUAGUUCUUCCUCCAAAGUGGUGCGGGGUGAGGCGACGGGGGUUCUUAUCGACGAGUUAACCUUUAAGACACCUUUUAGUUUAACAAACGUAUAACCCACGUAUAUACAAAGAUCAUCACUUGAAACUUUAGAAUGUCAAACCAGUUGUAUAUCCAAACGCCCCUCCGUUUAAGUACGAUCACUUCUACUACCAAGCCAAUUGGUGCGAGAAUAAGCACUAAAGCUGCUCCUCCGUCGUUCCGAACUCGUUAAACCACGUCUUGAACUUCCGCUGACUACGUUUUAGAAUAGGGUGACAUUAAACCGUAAGAAAAUCUCGGUUCUCCCACUCCUAGGUGUUUGAUUAAACGAUUUGAAAAUGUUAAAAAUAACUGUGAAAUUGUAGCCGACCAUUACCCAUCGAUCAAAUCAACAGGAUCAACUGGUUUUACUCGUGAUUUAUGAGAGUACUCAAAGGAGGUUUACUCACCAAACUGAUAACUUUAACACUUGUAUAAAUCUAGGUUUGGUCAUGAUAGUUUCUUAGAUAGCUAUUCGUUCAAGAUUGCUCCUCGGCUUUUGGUUUGAGUAUAUUUUAAAUCUAUCUUACAUGAUCCCGAUACACUUGAGCUUCAACUUCUGGGGCUAUUUUAACGAGCUUAACUAAUAAAAAAUUUCACUGAGCCGGAUACGUAAAACAAAGUACCCGAAAUUUACGUUGCACACCACUUUGACCAGCUCAACUAAACGAUCUUGUACACUAAGCCACCGAAGACUAAACAUCGGUGAUCGUGGUUGAGAUACCAAGUUUCAUGAUGUGUUAAGUACUGAUACCAAAAUAAACCAAGAGUCGAGAGUGACUAACGUAUUUUGGCGGUCUUAAACGUUGUAAACCCACAUUCUGCUGUUAUUAAUUGUCGUUGGUGUCGUGAUAACUGGCCUACAUACUUUACGUAAAUAGAGAAAAAAAGAGAAAGAUGUAAAGGUGGAACGAAACAAAUCGUCAAAAAUGGGAAAAAAUUAACGAAGAUACACGAAGUAUCAUCCUUACUUAUUAGUGAAAGGACGAUGAACUCUGAGUUUACACUCCGAAACAGAGUAAAGAGAAAGUCUACCGCGCUUCCUUUACAGAGCAAAUUUAUGGAGUUUAGUUUAGGAAUGAGCUUUGGUUGGAUGCCUUCCACUACAGGCGUACAGGCGUACUUUUCUCGCUACGUCGUGUUUACGCCACUGUUUGUCUCUUUAGAAGCCGUGCAGUACAAAGAGAUGUUUUGAAACAAGAGUUUCGGUAGUCGAGAGUGGAACAGUUGUAUUCCUUUAAAUGUAGGAAGAACGUCGUUGCUUUGAUUCAUACCGAUUGUAACCUGCGUUCCCGAAUUAAUACAUAUUAAACAAACAUAAUACCAGGACCUAAUAAUUAGAUAAUUUAAAACUUUGAAACUGGAAUUAAACCUCUACCGAGCUUUGUCUACGCAUAAAGUAUAGAACAAGAAAAAAAGGAAUAACAAGUACACGACUAAGAAUAACUUUACCACAUGUUAUUUCCGGGAAAAACUUUUAAAACGUGGACUACAAGAGAAUAUUAUAACGGAAGAAAGUUACCACCAACCGUAUCAUAAACCCUCCUUAGACCAACCUUAAAACGACGAACAAAUCCCGGUGACUUACUUUUUGUAAUGCUGGGAUAAACAUGGAUAAACUUACAUACUUAUAAAAUAAGUCAUAUAGAGUAUCUAAACAACAUAUAUUAAUUUUUUCAUAUUAGGUUCCAGACUAAUCCCAUUCUCGCAAACCUGCAUGUUCAUUUAUAGGUAAAUCAGUACACUUCGAACAUCAGCAAAACAAGAAAAGGCUUCCUACUCUUACCACAACAAGUGUCAAACAAAGGCAAUCUGUAGCAAAAAGUAAAGAAGUUCGAUCCCUAAAAUUUAUAGCAAUAUCAAUUACUCUAAAAAACCAUACAAUAAUGGGCAGAUCAACUUAAUCAAAGACAACAUAAAUUGACACUGUAUAUAGGCAGAAAGUGGGAAAUCUCUAGUAAAGUCGCAUACAUGGGCAAGCUAAAGUCAAGCAGGAAAUGAAGUUUUCAUUACUUAAAAAUGAGUGACUUAAAUCUGAGACAGUUACAACGUCAUUUGAUAUUUUCUCUACUAGAACAAGAGAUGAACAAGUGCAAAGUAGCCAUUGAAAGGAUAUAAGAAACUAAAGAAUUCCUAAGGUCAAUCCAAAUACAGAAGCUUACAAAGGAACAGAUGUUGAACUUGAUAUAUACAACAACAACAAGAAUUAUUCAAGUUCAUUAACAAACUCAUAUUACUCCAAAUGCUUGUAUUCAUCAGCAGCAGAACGGAUCUCUCAAAUAAACAUACCAAGAAAAGAGGCAUGCAGAUAACUAUAUAUGUAAAACUUUUCUACUUCAACACACAACAAAAUGAGUAGUGCAAAAGUAUAAUGAAUUUCAUCACAUAAAUAUAAAAUUACUUUCAAAACAGUAUAUUCUAAACCAGCGUGCCACAAACCUAAUUAAAAAACAUUUAAAUGAAUUGUACUAACCUUUACAUUUUCAACCGGACCCAGCUUCAUGCAUUCCUCUCUAACAUCUGCAUCUAGCUCUGGAAGAAGACUUUCAUCACUCUGCAAAUACAAGAACAUCCCCACUCAUCAUUAGACCAUGGCACCAAAUUAUCUAAGCAUUUCAUUCAUGCAGAUAAACAUCAGAAACAAAUUGCCGCAAAAAUGUGCCCGGUAAUUUGGAUCAUAAAAGCAAACAGAGUAACAAGGCCCGUUUGAAACUGUUUACCCUCAAUUCAGCAGGAACGAACAUGUUCCUUAAAACAAUGGUGGUCGGAAUAGACACCUUCGCAUCAUCAUGCCCACCUAAUCAAAGAAAGAGAGUUAGGUUGGAUAGCACCUCUCAAGAGCACCAAAAAUUCACAAAAGAUAUAUCGACAUCAAUCAAAGAUAUGCAUACUGACAACAUGGACUAGGUAGGCCUUACUUCACUCAAAGAAAUGCAUGUACUUAGAUAUGUAAGACUGAUGAUUACCCCAUCCAAGAAUUUUAUCUUCAACUCUCUUUAUUUUCUUUUUCUUAUGCUUAUCAGCCUUCCUCGCUAUAAAUUUCUCACCUGUACACAAAGCAGAAAAUAAGUCUUUUUAUCCAAUAUUUAAACAUUCUCAGCAUUACGAUGGCAGGAAACUAUGCCAAUGUUAACCUUUUUGUUCAAAUUUAGCUUGGCUUACAGACAUGGGAAUCUUUCCACCAGGACGAAGUGGAGUGCCAUCCAAUAUUUGAAUUGCUAAAGCAACGGAAGGUUCCUGGAAUGGACAGGAAAAAGUUAUACACAAAUUUAAGUUGAUAUUCACGUAAUGUUUCAAUAGGAAGAGUACUACUUACCUUCAGAUAGGUGACAAGUGCAUCACCCUUCUUUCUACCUGUUUCUUUGUCUAUGUAUACCUUCACUCGAGGCUUCCUUGUUUCAGGGUCCUAAAGAUGUUAAGACGUAUGAGUGAAAAGGAUGCCCUCAUCUAUGAAGGAUGAACUUAACCAAAGGUAACUUUAUAUCACGCUUAAUCAAUUAUUCAGUACUCGAAACAACUAAAAAGUGCUAUCAACAUCAACGAGACAGCGAUGAAUCAAAGACAGAAACAGCUUAAAUCUUGCCCUAAAACCAACCGGAAUGUAAAAUAGGACAAACCACAAGACAAGUGUGAUACAGACACAUUUGUCUUGCAUGCAGAAAAUUAACGCUUAACAAGUGGAACUUGCUUUGAAUAAGCAAUCGGAGACUUUCAUCUUAAAAGAACUCCCCUCCCUCCCCCAACAAAAAAUGUUGACAAUCAACCUAUUGCGUUCAAAAGCUCUCAAGUCAAACAAAUUUGUUAAAAGAUAAUAAUUGUGCACUUGCAUGCAUUAGGCCAGGCAAAUAGCUAACAUAGUUUGCAAAAAUGCAAACAACACAUAUAUACAAAAGAAAAGAGAAUUAUGGCGGGAAAAAAAAUCUGAAGUGCAAAUAGAUAAAUAAUUUUUCUUACCUCCUUUAUAAUUCCACACUUAGAGAAUACUUCCACUACCUGCAAGAUAAAUUUGAGAUUAGAGCCACAACUAUGACACGCGAUGCAUGGAACUAAACAGGUGCAAGCACAUUUAAUUAUUUCUUGCUAGGCAGUUGCCAAGUAAUGUGCCAUGAAAUAACAAUUAUGUGAAGCAUGAAAUAAAAGUAGGAGACCUAAUACUUACUUCUUCGACAGUAACAUCAUCAGGCAACCCAGUCACAUAAACAUGAGUAUUGACCUUCAAAUCAAACCAGCUAUCUGGCGGGUUAUUAGCUUCCUGUCACAGUUUGAAUGGUUUAUUAGCUUCCUUUCGCAGUUUCAUUCAAAAACCAUCAUCAUCCUCCCAUAAAAAAUAUUCAAGCAUGUAUAAUAUCAGAAGUAGCAACUUGGUAAGUGUCAUUCCUUCUCUUGACUAGUAAUUAAAGACAAUGCCAGUGCUAAAAGACCAUGUACAGAGGGUAAAAGUGCAAAUAUCUGCUUCCUACUUGGCUCAAGUGUGCAAGGAAGGCCCUCUAAAGCAGAAUAAUAGUUUGUUCCAUUCUAUGCAAACUCGAAUGAAUAGGAAGCUAAAACAUGCCCUUACCUAAGAAUUAGAGAAACAAUAAUAAUAAUCAAAAGUAAAAAAGCAAGAAAAAGGUACCUUCUUUUCAGUUGGCUUCUCAGAUGAUUUCCGCUUCUUCUCCAAUUUUGUUUCAGCUUUUUCAUUCAAAACAUUGCUCUCCUCUGGCACAGAGGGAUCAGGAACCUCUGAAGUUGGAAAUACCUCCUCCUCAUGUGCAAAAGUCAUCUCUUCAAGUCCAUAUUCACCUCCCUUACUUGAAGGAUUAUCCUAUGGAAUAACAACGUUCAUGUAAUUUCCACCUUUUCAUGUGUUUUAAGAGAAAUAAUAUAUUGACACUGUAACACAACUGCAUAGAGUAGUGGUCUUAACUUGAAAGUGGAUUACAGGAGGAAGCAUAAGUACACAUGUAUUUCCAGCAAAUAAUUUUGCCCAAGAUUAAAGCAAAGAAAAAAAAUUCAUAGGAAGCUAAUAUCAUCUGGCAAAGUUCUAUGGCUAAACUGGAGAACUUCAAUAAUCUCACAAAGCAAAUUGUGGCAAAUAAGCAUUAAGGCAACUUACUUUGAGUUCAUACAUGUAUUUUGUUACACUGAUUUGGCACAACUGAGGGGGAAAAAAAAUCAGAUUACCUAAGAAUUAAGACCAGACUACAUGGAGUAAUGCUUACUUGAGGAACCCACGCCCUGACGCCACGAUCCCAUUUAUAAACAGUUCCGUCAUCAUCAGUAAAUUCUUCCUCACCAUCUGGUGGGGUCGCCGGUCUAUCAUUGAGACCCGCUUCUGUCCCUCCUCCCUCACCCUCAAUAUUUCCACCUUUCAGGGCCUCAGCCUCGGCCUCAGCCUCUAACACCUCUUUCUGCCAUUUCACAAAAUCAUCGUUGUUUUCUUCCGCAUCUACGAGAAAAAGACAAAAUGAGGAAGGGCUCCUUUUGUUUGUCGAAAUCAAGGUUUAAUUAGGUAAUAAUAACUUUGUUAACCUUCGGUAGGACGAUUAGCUGUUUGAGCUGAAAUCCCUAUAUAUAGCUCAGGAAUUGAGGAUAAUGGCAUCCAGCUACUUCUCCCUUCCGACCAGAGCAACGUGUUCUCAUUGAGGUACCCAUUUACAAAAUGCUCUAGCAAAGUAAAGAAAUCAUGGGCAAUAUGGUUAAGUAGCGAGCGAAUAUAAAUAUACAAACAAGGUAUAUCAUAAUAUCAAGCAACUCAAACUGUGGUGGUUGCUCAACAUACUAUCAUUCGCUUGAAGAAAACUCUAUCAUAUAACUUUCAAAAGAACAAGAGCCAAAUUAAUAUAAACUCUCAACUCCAUAUAUUAAUGCAGAAACAAUAAAUGUUACAUCAAGCAAUGUGAUUCAAAUAAAAAUUUCCUCUUUCUAACAGUAGCAAUACUUUCAAACUAGAUAUACACUGGAAUUUACAAAAGAAUUCAAAUCCUGCGGAUUAUCAAACCAAAAAUUUUACAUGAUUGAAUCAAAGCAAAUGCAAAUUACAACCAAGCAGUAAUAUUUACAUGAGACAAAGCAGAUGCGGUUCCCUAUUAACUCUAAUACGCCGCGAAAGCUACUCGCUUUAAAAAAAAAUAAAUUUAAGAAAAAAAGAGAAGUUCACCUUGCAACUCAGAGAAUGCGUAUGGACCAACAUGUUCUUGAUUCUCCCCAAGUAUAUACCAACCAACCUCAGAAGCCGCAGUAUAAUUCGCUUCCCUAUUCUCCUCCAUACUUGUUCACCUCAUCAUCGAACUAAAAUUGAACAAAUUUGAAACAGGUUAAAAAAAAAAAGACCACAAGCGGAAUAAAAACUAAAUGAUCAUCAGAAAUCAAGCAAAAAAACGCAUUUGUAUAGUGGGAAGUACCAAAUGGGCAGAAAAAAAAAAAGGGAAAUUCGAGAAAUAGGUCCACUAAAAUUGCUUUGUGUUCGAAUCUGAAUGGAGAAAUUUAGGGUUUUGGGAUAGAUUGGGUGGGGGAGAAUUGGGGUCCAACGAGAAACCCUAGGUGGGAGUAGUGCUCUUACCGACUAUGAUUCUACGAAGAUCACGGAAAUGUUCUGGAACGAGCGGGGACGAUGACGAGCUAAAACGCAUUGAGGGGCAGUUUGGUAAAUUUGAGGUAACAAUUGUAACGAGACCCCUCAAUGUAGGUCACAAUGUAGGUCAAGUUAGUUAAUUCUGAUUCGGCAAAAAUUCGAUAUGGGUAUAAUAUAAAUUGCAACAAUCCGACACGCUAGCAACGAUAACUCGUUGGGCCCAAACAACCGGACUAAAAUACUUAAGCCCAGUUAUUAUAACUAGCGUGUAGGCCUCAUAUAAAUUUAUCGGAAUCAGAGUUUAGACCCUGACGUCCUCGUCGGGUCCAAACCAGAUCACAAACAUACAGACAGACCAGAACCAGAAUUACCAGGCGAUAUGAGAUUCUAGAGUAUGCUUAAACUCAGUUAAUAUAACUAGCGUGUAAGCCUCAUAUAAACUAAUCGGAAUUAGAGUUUAAACCCUGACGUCCUUGUCGGGUCCAAACCAGAUCACACACAGACAGAAGACCAGGACGAGAAUUACUAGGCGAUGUGAGAUUCUAGAGGUGGCUCCCACCAAAUAUAACUAGUGUGUAGGCCUGAUCGGAAUCAGAGUACCAGAUCACAAACAGACAGAAGACCAGGAUCAGAAUUACCAAGCGAUGUGAGAUUUUAGAAGUGGAUCCUACGGGUUAUGUGAGAUUCUAGAGGUGGCUCCUACGAGUUCAAGAGGUGGUUCCCACCAAACCAGGAUCAGAAUUACCAAGCGAUGUGAGAUUCUAGAGGUGGAUCCUACGGGUUAUGUGAGAUUCUAGAGAUGGCUCCUACGAGUUCAAGAGGUGGUUCCCACCAAAUCCGUUGGUGUAGCACUUUAUCCCGCAUAGCACUUAGCUCUCACAUUUUCGCCUGGUAUUCGGUUUUGAUACCAAAUGUAACGACUCAAUCAGCUAGCAACAAUAACUUGUUGGACCCAAACCACGGGCCCAAAAUGCUUAAGCCAAGUUAUUAUUACUAGCAUGUAGCUCUCAUAUAUUCUAAUCAGAAUCAGUUUUCCCAUCCGAUGUGGGACUAUUGGGGCGUUACAUAAAUAAAAUUCGUAUUCUAAUUUUUAAAUUUAUUAAAAAAUACAGUUAAAAAACAAAUUCUCCAAUUAUUCGAAUAUGUGAUUUAUAUGGAUAUCAUACGUUCACCAAUUAAAAAUUCAGGAUAAAAAAUUCAGCUAUUAAAUAAGUUUUUUUUCCUUUAGAUUUAUGCUAUUAGCAUAAAUACUCAUAAUUCUUUAAGAAUAUAAAAAUAAAUUGAGAUAGGAUCUCCACCAAUAGCUGUGAAUGCUUCUGUUUGCACAUCUAGUGGUACUUUAUCAUAUGUUUCAAUAUCACGUCUUGAAACUUGAGAUACGUGGGAUUUGAGUCUUGCGCCACCACCCAAGUACACUUUAGAACAAUAUUUGCACUUAUAUUUUUCACUCAGUUCUUCCAUGUGAACCGAAAACCUAUCUUUCUUUUGAAUCAUUUUUCUGGACAAAAAAAGUUAACGACUCGAAUAUUUCAAGUUUUACCACAUAACUGCCAAUCAUGCAUCUUCAAAAGAAUAAAAUCACAUCCAAAGAACAUUAUAAUUACCCAUCAAUGAUGCAUCAAACAUAACCUAACUCUAAGUAAUUAACCCCACUCCAUUGGUUCUGAGUCUUCAGACAACAGUAAGCAAAUUAAUGAAUAUAACAAUAUAAUAAUAUCUGGACCCUCCAUAACCUGUCGGGGAUGAGAUUGCUCUCAGACGAGGAUGGCAGUGGGGAUGAUGGUUGAUGCAAGAUCGGUGUAUUAGGGACUAGGAGUGAGGAUGAUAGGAAUGAGAAAAAGAGAAGUUGAGAGGGAUAGAGGAGAUCAGAUUUGGGAGGUUUGAGAGGAGAGGAGAGAAGAGGAGAGGAGAAUUGGGAGGAAGAAAAAAAGCUCUAUUCAUUUUUCCAUGAUCCCAAAAUUGCAUUUGCCUGUUACUUAGUAACUCUAUUCUAUGUUGAAAACGAAAUUUAUUACAUUGGUGGACUAAACUGAAAAAAAAAAUAUAUAGAAAGAAAUAAUAUAGGCUUGGUGGGCCAAAACUAAUGGAGUCAUGGGCCUUCUAGGCUGUUGGAGAGCUUAGCACAUUUGGCUUAUAGCGGGUUUGGACCUGAUGCUCCAAUCAACCUAACCCAAUUGAAGGUUUGAGAUACUCCACUUCCAGCCUGGAGCUAAUAGAUCCUGUUGUGUCACACCUCGGGACCUAGCGUAGGCCCACCCGGUGCCUGCCCAGACCCGCCAUAUGCCUGCACAUAUAAGGCGUCUAGCCCAAAAGCGAAUAAAUGAACAAGAAGUGAAAAGUAUCUAGAGAUAUCAGAGCAAAUAUACAGCUAGGUUCUAUCAACAAGUAGAGUCAAAAGAGAACUAAACCACUAAAGUAUAAAGAAAACUAAUACAUCAUAAAUCUCAAGAUACAAAAGUAGGGUAGUCUCUAUAACCAGGUACAAAACUCUCACAACCUCUCCAAAAGAAAACAAAAGAGAGGUGGACCACCUAUCACCGAAUCCCUCGAUAGCUAGCUCGAGGUGAAACCUUUCCCGUGAUCCCGAGCCUCUCCCGGAGUGGAAGGCUCUGAAAGAAAAUAUAAAACAGGGGGCGUGAGAACUAUAAUUUAUAGUUCCCGGUGGGCAAUUACUGACAUGAGCAAAAUGCACCAUUAGGCCCAAAACAUAAGCAGAUAUGAAUAAUAAUAAUAACUGCGAAAAAGAAAGCAUAUAAUAAAUGCUACACUACUAUGCCACAAAUAUACAUGAUAUGAACAUGGAGUACACCUACUCUAUCAUGAUCUAAUAUGCCAAAACAUGUUUAGUAUGCUCGAUCACGGCGCCCAGGUAUACUAAAAUGCAAUAAGCAAUACUACUAAGUAUACUACAUGUCCAAGUGUCCAAUACAUAUCUAGUAUGCACUAUCAUAGCGACCAAGUAUACUAUAUGUCCCAAUGCCCAUUGAAUCCAACUACGAUUUAUUAUCAAGUAGUGAUUAUUACAUAACGACUCCGUGUCGAUUUUCAUUUCUAAUUAAGGACCUAUCCAAGGUAGUCCAGCUUGUGCCACCUAGCUGCCGGUGGUAGUACCAACAUUCCCCCUCGAGGAACGGGACUGUCCCACACGACCCUACAGGCGCCUCGCCGCCUAGCUGCCCGUGGUAGCACAUCAUCCCAAGCUAGAAUAAGGCUGUCCCACACGACCCUACAGGCGUCUCAAUCCCGCACGCGCGAACUGCGUCGCAAAAGGCCAACUCCGGAGUGCCGGCUUGUAGGGAGCGACCCUCACAAGCAUGUGCUAAUGAGCACAAAUGGCACGCAAGCGCGAAUGAGCACAAAUGGCAAGCAAGCAAAGUCAUCGUCUCAACGAUGCGGUCAUCAUGGCUCUACCAUGGAAAUGAUCGCUAGUAACUCAUAGGUCUAGUCCAAUAUCCCAAGUGAAGGUUUAACCAUUCAAUAUGUCCAAUGCCCCUUUAUGGCAUUAUAUCUCACUAUGCCAAAAUCUUGUCCCAACACUAAUGCCACUUUAUGACAUUAGGUUUACUAAGUCCACACAUAUUCCAAGCCUAAUGCCCCUUUAUGACAUUAGCUUGCUAAGUCCAUAUCUAGUCCAAGCCUAAUGCCCCUUUAUGACAUUAGCUUACUAUACCAACUUCAAGCACAAUGUCUCUUUAUGACAUUGGCUUACUGUAUCAACUCCAAGCCCAAUGUUUCUUUAUGACAUUGGUUUAUUAUAUCAAGCAUGAGUCUAAGUCCAAGAAUGCAAUGCACUUGUCAUUUUCACUAUAUGAAAUAUGAUCCAAAUUCACACAUAGGAGUGCUAACCAUAGGCUCAAGCCCAACAUGCAAACUCUCUACUACGUUGUAACACACUGGACCUUUGCAAAUUGCGAGGUUCGAGUGUUUGAUGAGUACCCCGAACUUUUCCACACUUGGUGGAAGGCCGUAGAUGGUAUUCCGGCCUAAAAGUUCGAUCUCUAGAGUUUUGGCUUUGUCCUGAGAGUUUUCACUCUCGGGGACCGAUCCCUGAUAUGAGAGACCGGUCCCCUCAGAGCAGUGCUGCGGCAGGACUUGAGGCAACCGGUCCCUGGCUGGGAGAGACCGGUUCCCGAGCGCGUGUUUUGCAAGAAGGGUCUGAGAGACCGAUCCCUGGCGGGGAGAGACCGGUUCCCGAACGUUGGUUUUUCGGGUUCGACACGAGAGACCGGUCCCAUGCAGGGAGAGACCGGUCCCUCCGCGCGAAAACAGCCCAGACCGGGCAGUGCACAGAGUGGAUUUUUGAGGGACCUAAGUGGAUUUUGUUACUUUUGAAGGCUUAUAGAGCCUCUUCUCUCUCUCCCAUCCUCAUUUCCUCUCCCUCACACCCACUUUAGAGAGAGAAAGAGAAGGAGGAGAAGAAGGAGUUGGAGGAGAAGGAGAGAAUCUUGCUUGGAGGCCUUGGAGCAUCAUCUUCUUCCUCAUUUCUCACAUUGGUUGCUUGGAGCUUGCGGUUGGAGCUUUGUGGGGGAUCAAACUUCAACCCUACUUGGUUUAUAGCUUGGAUUGAAGCCUCUCUUGAUGUUGGUUGCUUGUAUUCCCUAUUUAAUACAAGUUUUUCUAGAUUUUAACUAGAUAAAACCCUAGAUUUUGGGAUUUAGGGUUUGUUUUGGGGAUUUUUGAUUUGAGGGCUUUGAAACCUAAUUGAUGGGUUUAGAACCUUUAUUUAGGUUGUAUUUGAAGAACUCUAACUCCCAUUUGGAGCUUGAGAGAGGAUUUCUUCACUUAGGUGAGUUUUUUCUCCACCUUAGCCUAUGUUGCUUAUGGUUUAGGCUUAGGGUUGAUCGUGAGAUUUGUUUUGACCCUUGUUCCUACAUCUCUAGGGUGCUAGGAGGCUAGACAAUACCUUAGUCGGAGCUUACGAAGGAUCGCGAGUGUUUUGGUGGGUUUGACUUUAUAAACACGGGGCAAAAUAGCCCCCUACGUUUCUAUACUUGUCGUAAAGUAAUUUUGAAUGCGAAUCCAUGUUAAACUUGAUUUAUGUGAAUUUUAGAACACUUGAAAUGCAUGCUUUAUGUAUCAUGAAAUUGCACUCUAUAUAGUAGAGCUAUAUGUAUAGACUGCACGCUUUGUGAACGGUAGUUGACCUUGCAAGUUGAGAACAUGUUUGCUAUGUUUAAAAUGAGUAGAAUUAUGUGUUCAUGAACUUAGAUACCAUGCUUGGACUCUUUGAACAAUAGUGUCAUAAAGGGGCACUUGAAAUUAGUAAAUUAUGAAAAUGCAACAUAGAGACAUAGUGAUAGGCCAUUGGACAUCGACUAUAUUCCAUGUUAGAGACAUGAUGACAUAGUGAUAGACCUUUGUGAUAUUCGAUACAUUCCAUGUUCAUAGACAUGAGGUCUUGGUACUUGUGACAGACUUAUAUGCAUGCUUGUCAUUGUGCUCAUUCGCACAUGCUUGUGAGGGUCGCUCCCUACAAGCCGGCACUCAGGAGUUGGCCAUCGCGAUACGUUCGCCGUGCGGGUUUGGGCGCCGAAGUGGAUUGCCGUGGGAAAGGCUCAUUCCUAGGAUGGGGAUGUUGACUAUCACGGGGCCAUUAGGCACGGUAAAGCUAGACAGCCUUCGGGUGGGUCUUAUGCCAGACAGCCUUCGGGUGGGUCUUAUCAGAGCUGAACUUUAAACAGAUAAAGUGACAAGUGGACAUUGACUAGAAUAGUAAACAAUGACAUAUUUACUAUUUACAUUGUGGACAUUGGAUUAGUCGCAUACUUAUGCAUUUGCAUGUUGGAUACUCUUGUGCACAUACUUGUAGUAACUGCCUUCUUACUUAUGCAAAUCAUGCUAAGUAGAUAUAUCAUGGUUGAUUAGUAUUCAUAUUUAUUUCCUAGUUGUUCUUAUCGCUUUGGCUUAUACUUGUACACUGACCCACUUUUGUAGUUUUGGGCCUAGUGGCGCAUUUCACUGAAGUCAGUAAUUGCCCACUGGGAACUAUUAAUUAAUAGUUCUCACGCCCCUGUUUCUAUGUUUUCUUUUCAGAGCCUUUGGCAUCGGCGGAGGCACGGGAUCGCGGCAAGGGUGUCGCGUAGCUAGCUCGGGAGAAAGUCCGCUUUGCGAUAGGUGGUUACUCUUUUUGUUUGUGUUUGAGAGAGGGAGAGUUUUGGCACCAUGUAUAGAGAGAACACCUUGUAUUCAGAUUAGUACUUGUUAUGGGACUUCUUUUGUAUUAUCUUAUGUUUACUUAGUGGAUUAUCAGUUCUAGGAUCUUCUUCUUGUUGUAGCAUUUCGUAGUUGCUUUGCUCUGAUACUCCUAAAUGCCUUCUUGUAUUAUUUUAUUUACCGCUUUAUUUUAGACGUCUUGUAUGUUUUAGACGUACGGCGGGUCUGGACACGCGCCGGGCGGGCUUCCGCUGGGUCCCGAGGCGUGACAUACGUAGAGGUCCAAAAAUACAUUUUACAUAACAUGUGCAUUUUAUACAUUCUAAAAUUCACAAAUAAUCUAUCUUGCAUGAAUAUGCAUGUAUCUUUAUUUUACGAUAAGCAAAAGCCAUUAUGGGGAUGAUUUAUCCCGUUUUGGUGAGACCAAACCCACCAAGAGUUCCACGCUGCCUUCGUUUGCGCCGACGAAGGUGCCCACAAGCCUCCUAGCUUCCUAAGGGUUAAAGUAGGAGCGACACACGAACGUUACGAACAACGAAUAGGUUAAACAUUAACCAACUCAAUAAAAGGGCCAAAACUCACCUAUAGUGGUGAAAAUCCCUCACAAACUCCAAAGGGGAGCUAGAACCCUUCAAAAGCAACCUAGAUAAAAGUUCUAAACCAACCAAUUGAGCUCCAAAAGCCCUGAAUCAAAAAUCCCCAAUUCAAACCCUAAGUUCACAUUUCUAGGGUUUUUAUACAAAAAUCAGAAAAUACAUGAUCAAGAGAGGGGAAAAAAGCUACAAACCUCAAAAGAAGCUUCAAAGGUCCCAAGAGACCAGCUGGGGUUGAUGUCCUCUCCUCCCACGAGCUCCAACCACGAGCUCAAGGCUUCUCCAAUGGUGUAGGUUGCACCAAGAAGCAAAAAGAAGAGAUAAAACUAUCAAAAUCCAAGCAAAAAAGGAAUAAAAUCCAAAGAGAGGAAGAGAGGAGGUUCCCCACCUUCUUCUCUGCUGCUCCAAGCCCAGGGAACUCAGCAAGGGACGUAGGGUAUGUAUAGAGAAGCAACAAAAGCAAAUACACCCCCGAAAAACUACUAUUUCGUAGUCUGGCAAAGUGUACCGGUAUACGAAAAAGUGUACCGGUACAAAUCCUGCGAGACAACAAACCCGAGUCUCGGGUUGGCAGAAAAACUGAUCUGUACUGGUAUAGCCAUCAAGGUGUACUGGUACACUUUCUGUUCUGGUACAACGAUCAAGGCUAUACCGGUACAUAUUCCUGCAGAGGCAACCCGAGAGUAGACCAAUUGAUCCAAUCUUCUGGAUUUUGGUGCCAAGUUAAAAUCUCAAUCCUCGGGAUGCAAGUCAUGGGUCAGAACACUAUCUACGACCCUCCAGAAACUGUGGAAAGGCUCAGAACUCAGAUCAAACACUCGAACCUCGCAAUUUGCAAAGGUCCAGUGUGUUACAUGUCGUUGCCCACCUUGUCUCCUCUUAACCAAGCGAUCGGAACCCUAGAUUCGCUCCCGCUUCCUGCUGACGAUCUCUAGCCUCCUUCUCUCUUCUUCAAGAACAAGCUACAUCAAGAUUCUCCCCCUCCCCCUCCCCUUCCCCUUUCCCUUCCCCCAGAAAAAGCUACGAUCUCCAUCUCCUUCUUGUUCCUCACCAUGCUUGAUCUCUCUCUCUCUAUAUAUAUAUAUCUAUAUGUGUAUAUGUGUAUUUAUGCUUAUUCAUCCUCUUCCUGGCAGAUGUUACAAUCCCCCCUGCUUGAGAAGAUCCUUGUCCUCAAGGAUCGAAGUCCGAGAACUGGGAUUUCAAGAACCAAUAGUCCUCCAACCUUGCGGCCUCCUCACUAAGAUUCUCCCAUUUGACCAACACUUGACUAACAGCGUGAUCCCCUCUCCUUACCAUGCGCCUGUCCAGUAUUCCCUUCUUGGGGUGCUUUGAGCUCCUGCUGAUGGGCUUUCUUUAGUUGUGAUACAUGAAAUACUGGGUGGAUUUGCGACCCUUCCAGCAACUAUAGACGGUAAGCUACCUUGCCGAUCUUCUCAACUAUUCUGAAUGGCCCGAAGCAGCAAGCAGCGAGCUUGACAUUGCGUCAGACUACCCCGCUUACUUGGUGGUAAGGCUGCAGUUUUAGGUACGCUAGGUCCCCUUCCUGGUACUCCUUGUAUACUAGAUGUUUGUCAGCAUUCUGCUUCAUGCACGUUUGGGCCUUCAACAGUUUUUUCCUUAGUAUUUGUAGCAUCCUCUCCUGUUCCCUUCCCCAUUCAUGUAUUGUCAUCGACACCUCGGUUCCCAAGUUGACCAUUAAGUAGUUAGAAGGAGCGUGUCCAUGCAGGGCUUGAUAUGGUGUCAUCCCUAAGGAACUGUAAUGGUUGGUGUUGUACCACUAUUCCGCUAAGGUGAGCCAUCUAUGCCAUUUGUUCGAGCACUAAAAGCACAUACACCUUAAAUAAGUCUCUAAAUAACGAUUAAGUAUCUUUGAUUGCCCAUCCAUUUGUGGAUGUCACCCCUAAGGAACUGUAAUGGUCGGUGUUGUACCACCAUUCCGCUAAGGUGAGCUAUCUAUGCCACUUGUUAGGGCACUGAAAGUACAUACACCUCAAAUAAGUCUCUAAAUAACGAUUAAGUAUCUUUGAUUACCCAUCCAUUUGUGAAUGAUAAGCUAAACUCAUUAGUAGUUUGACCUCCAUCACCUUGAACAGUUCACGCCAGACUUAGCUUGUAAAAAUCUUUUCCCGGUCGGUUAACAUAGUCCUCAUCAACCUGUGCAGUCUAUAUACUGUGUCGAGGAAGGCCCUGGCUACAUAUGAAGCGGUGAAUGGAUGCGCUAGGGAUAUGAAAUGUGCAUACUUGGUAAGCCAAUCGAUUACCACAAGUAUAGUGUCUUUACCCUUGGAUUUCGAUAAAGCUUCAAUAAAAUCCAUUGUGACUCUUGCCAUGCUUGGGUUGGGAUCGGCAGGGGCUGUAAGAGUCCUGCAUAAGGUAGGUUGUUGGCCUUGUUCUAUAUACAAACAGUUCACUUUUUAACCUAACUCUCCACGUUUUGCUUAAGCCCCAGCCAAUGGAAGUACUGCUUUACCCACUGGUAAGUAUGUGUCAUGCCCGAGUGUCCACCUAGGGCUGAAGAAUGAAGCUGCUCUAUUAUGUUCCUUUGGGCUUCGCCUUGACUGCCAAUAUAUAUUCUUUCUUUUGUCGCACACUGGACCUUUGCAAAUUGCGAGGUUCGAGUGUUUGAUGUGUAUUCCGAACUUUUCCACACUUGGUGGAAGGCCGUAGAUGGUAUUCCGGUCUAAAAGUUCGAUCUCUAGAGUGUUGGCUAGUCCUGAAAGUUUUCACUCUCGGGGACCGGUCUCUCCUAUGGACCGGUCUCUCCUAUGGACCGGUCCCUGAUAGGAGAGACCGGUCCCCUCAGCACAGUGCUGCGACAGGAUUUGAGGCAACCGGUCCCUGGCUGGGAGAGAUCGGUUCCCGAGCGCGUGUUUUGCGAGAAGGGUUUGAGAGACCGGUCCCUGGCGGGGAGAGACCGGUUCCCGAACGUUGGUUUUUCGGGUUCGACACGAGAGACCGGUCCCAUGCAAGGAGAGACCGGUCCCUCAGCGCGAAAACUGCCCAGACCGGGCAGUGCACAGAGUGGAUUUUUGAGGGGCUUAUCUGGAUUUUGUUACUUUAGAGGCUAUAGAGAGCCUUUCUCCUCUCUCUUUCCCUCAUUUCUCUCAACCCUUUGCAUUCUAGAGAGAGAAGAAGAGAGGGAGAAGGAGAGAAAGAAGAAGGAGAAGGAGAGGUUCUUGCUUGGAGGCCUUGGAGCAUCAUCUUCUUCCUCAUUACUCACCUUGGUGGCUUGGAGCUUGUGGUUGGAGCUUUGUGGAGGAUCAAACUUCAACCCUACUUGGUUUAAAGCUUGGAUUGAAACUUCUCUAGAGGUUGGUUGCUUGUAUUCCCCAUUUAAUACAAGUUUUUCUAGAUUUUACUAGAUGAAACCCUAGAUUUUGGGAUUUAGGGUUUGUUUUGGAAAUUUUUGAUUUGAGGGCUUUGAAACCUAAUUGAUGGGUUUAGAACCUUUAUUUAGGUUGGAUUUGAAGACCUCUACCUUCCAUUUGAAGAUUAAGAGAGGGUUUUUCACUUGAGGUGAGUUUUUCCCAACCCUAGCUUGAGAUGGUUAAUGAUCAAUCUUAUGGUUAUUCAUUACGUUUGUUGGACCCUUGUUCCUACAUCUCUAGGGUGUUAGGAGGCUAGAUGACACCUUCGUCGGAGCUUACGAAGGAUCGCGAGUGUUUUGGUGGGUUUGACUUCAUGAACACGGGGCAAAAUAGCCCCCUAUGUUUCUAUACUUGUCGUAAAGUAAUUUUGAAUGCGAAUCCAUGUUAAACUUAAUUUAUGUGAAUUUUAGAACACUUGAAAUGCAUGCUUUAUGUAUCAUGAAAUUGCACUCUAUAUAGUAGAGCUAUAUGUAUAGACUGCACGCUUUGUGAACGGUAGUUAACCUUGCAAGUUGAGAACAUGUCUCCUAUGUUUAAAAUGAGUAGAAUUAUAUGUUCAUGAACUUAGAUACCAUGCUUGGACUCUUUGAACAAUAGUGUCACAAAGGGGCACUUGAAAUUAGUAAAUUAUGAAAAUGCAACAUAAAGACAUAGUGAUAGGCCAUUGGACAUCGACUAUAUUUCAUGUUAGAGACAUGAUGACAUAGUGAUAGACCUUUGUGAUAUUCGAUACAUUCCAUGUUCAUAGACAUGAGGUCUUGGUACUUGUGACAGACUUAUAUGCAUGCUUGCCAUUGUGCUCAUUGGCACAUGCUUGUGAGGGUCGCUCCCUACAAGCCGGCACUCCGAAGUUGGCCAUCGCGAUAUGUUCGCCGUGCGGGAUUUGGGCGCCGAAGUGGAUUGCCGUGGGAAAGGCUCAUUCCUAGGAUGGGGAUGUUCACUACCACGGGGCCAUUAGGCACGGUAAAGCCAGACAGCCUUCGGGUGGGUCUUAUGCCAGAUAGCCUUCGGGUGGGUCUUAUCAGAGUUGAACUUUAAACAGUUAAAGUGACAAGUGGACAUUGACUAGAAUAGUAAACAAUGACAUCUUUACUAUUUACAUUGUGGAUAUUGGGUUAGUUGCAUACUUAUGCAUUUGCAUAUUGGAUACUCUUGUGCACAUACUUGUAGUAGUUGCUUUCUUACUUAUGCAAAUUAUGCUAAGUAGAGACAUCAUGGAUGGAUAGUAUUCAUAUUUAUUUCCUAAUUGUUUUAUCGCUUUGGCUUAUACUUGUACACUGACCCCAUUUUGUUGCAGUUGGGCCUAGUGGCGCAUUUCACUGAAGUGAGUAAUUGCUCACUGGGAACUAUUAUUUAAUAGUUCUCACGCCCCUAUUUCUAUGUUUUCUUUUCAGAGCCUUCGGCACCGGCGGAGGCACGGGAUCGCGGCAAGGGUGUCGUGUAGCUUGCUCGGGAGAGAGUUCGUUUUGAGAUAGGUGGUUAUUCCUUCUUUUUUUGGGUUUUGAUAGAGGGAGAGUUUUGGCACCAUGUAUAGAGAGACCACCUUGUAUUCAGAUUAGUGCUUGUUAUGGGACUCCUUUGUAUUAUCUUAUGUUUACUUAGUGGAUUAUCAGUUCUAGGAUCUUCUUCUUGUUGUAGUAUUUCGUAGUUGCUUUGCUCUGAUACUCCUAGAUGCCUUCUUAUAUUGUUUUAUUUACCGCUUUAUUUUAGACGCCUUGUAUGUUUUAGAUGUACGGCGGGUCUGGACAAGCGCCGGGCGGGCUUCCGCUGGGCCCCGGGGCGUGACAUCUUUGUAUCUUAAUAACUCUUGAUUAUAGGUGUAAUUUGGGUGCUGCUUCAAUCGUAACAAUAAUGCCGUGAUGAUUCCUUGACACUGUAAUCGUAACAGUAAUGCCGUCAUCCCCUCGAUAGCUUCAGAUUACUUCUGAAACCCAGCUUGGCACCACUGUGGCUAUGGCCAAGUUCGCCCUCUCUUCAAUCCCUUGCCUAGACAAAGAGUCUGCGACCUUGUUCUCUGGUCUACCUUGUAGUGUAUCACAUAAUCGAACCCCAUUAGCUUCACCAUCCCUUUUUGUUGCAACGCCCGUUAUAAUCUUUUAUUCCAACAAGUAUUUCAAGCUUUGGUGGUCGGCCUUGAUUAUAAAUUUUUGGGGGCUAAGGUAGUAUUAACACUUGUUCACGACCAUCAAUAUAGCCAAGAACUCUUUCUCAUAGGUUGACAACCCCAAACUCCUUCUACUAAAAGCCUUACUAAGGUAGGCAAUAGGCUAUCCUUCUUGCGACAGGACAGCCCCCAUUUCUAAUCCACACUUAUCCACUUCGAUGGUGAAAGGCUUGGAGUAGUCGGGUAAGGAUAGCACCGGAGCUUGUGUCAUCACUCCUUUCAAGUUGUCGAACGCAGCUUGAGCCUCGGCUUCCUAUUUGAAUUGAUCCUUCUUGAGCAGCUCAAUCAAGGGUUUGCUCAACUUUCCAUAAUUUUUGAUGAAUCUUCUAUAGUACCUCGUUAUCUCCAAGAAUCCUCUUAACCCUUUGAGCAAAGUGGGGAUUGGCCACUUAAUCAUGGCCUCAAUUAAGCAUUUUGGGUUAAUGGUUACCCCUGCCUCCGUUAUGACAUACUCUUAAGUAUUCCACUCUUCGUUGCCCAAAUAAACAUUUUGACCUCUUUACGAACAAAUGAUGCUUGCGUAGAAUGUCCAGCACCUCUCUCAAGUGUUCCUCGUGCUCCCUCAGUGUUCGGCUAUAAAUUAAGAUGUCAUCGAAGAAUACGAGCACGAACUUCCUGAGGUAGUUAGCAAAUAUUUUGUUCAUCACUUAUUGGUAAGUGGUGGACAUGUGCAUAAUUAGAAAUUCAUAGUACCCAGAAUAAGUCCAAAAGGCUGUUUUGUAGACAUCUCGCGGGCUCAUUCGAAUCUAGUGAUAGCCAAACCGUAGAUCCACCUUAGAGAAAUAGACCGAGCCCCCCAAUUCAUCUUGCAAAUUGUUUAUUAGAGGGAUCAGAUACUUAUCUUUCACCCUAGCCUUGUUGAGUUGACAAUAGUUGAUGCAAAAUCUCCAAGUAUUGUCCUUCUUCUUGACUAGCAGUACCGGGGAUGCAUAAGGGCUUGUGCUCGGUUGAAUGAUUGAGGUUUUCAACGUCUCUUUGACUUGCCUUUCAAUCUCGUUCUUCUUCUCAUACGAAUAACGAUAAGGUCACACAUUAAUCGGGUUGGAGCCUUCCUGAAGCAGAAUCUUGUGGUCUUGUGGUCUUGCGGAUGGAAGCCUCUUAGGCUCCUGGAACACAUCCUUAUAUUGCUACAACAAUUCUUAAAUUGAGUGGGGCAUGACUGGUUCAGUUGUGUCACUAAGUGCAUGUUUGUUUGAAUGAAAGUGGGGCGGAAGUGGAGAGGAGGGAAGUCGUUUUCGCUAUAAACAAUCACUUUCGUUGUUUGGUUCGUCGUAAAUAAGUUGCGAUUAAAAUUCGAGUUAACCUGAAAUGGCGUAAUUGACUUCGGCCCGUCGUGGGCCGAAGUCAAUUACGGUGAAGAGAGGUGAAAAAAUAAUAAAAUAAUAUACUAGGUAAAGAUAGUUAUAUUUAAAUAUAUUUAAUUAUGAUACUAAUUAUUAAUUAUUUUAUUCAGUUGACAAAUUUAAAAUAUAAUAAAAAUUGAUUAGUUAAGUUUUAAUAUUUUUUUAUUUAGCUUGUACAAUGAAAAUAAGAUAAAAAUUAAUUAAUUAAGUAUUAAUAUUUUUUUUUACUUUAUAAUUUUAUUGUUAUAUUAGUAUAAUUUAUGUAUAAAAAUAAUAUAGUUAUUUUAAAUUAAAUUUUAAUUAUAUAAAAUUAUAAUUAUAUUAUUUUGAUUUAUUGAAUUAUUUAUUAUUUAUAAAUAAAUUAUAGUUUUACAUCAUACACUUCCUACCAAACAAACUGCAGAACUAAUGAAACUUCACUUCCAUAACUACGGAAUAAACAGCAGGGAAGAAGUAGUUUUCACCGAAUUCCACUUCAAUCCAAAGUCUACUUCAACCCAAAGUCCAGCUUCGGUGAAACAAACAUGCCCUAAGCUACAUGAUGUAAGCUACCACACACCAAGUGCCUUCUUGACAUUCUUGGUGCCAUUCCUUCGCGGUUAGCAUCUUUAGCUUGGACUCUUCUGUGACCCUCUUAAGCAGCCGCGAUUGUCCUCCAUUUUCUAAUGUCACAUUGUUACUAGCAUAGUUGAAGGUGUUUACCUUGCCAUAUUUCUUCAGCCAGUCAAUGCCUAGCACCAUACUCGAUCCUUUCAAUCUGAUGAUCCUCAAUUCAGCAGUGUACUGCUGUCCCUGCAUUGUCCAAGUGAAGCCAUGUGACAUCCCAAUAGUCCUACAUCUGAUGGGAAUGGGGUUGUCAUUGGGUUUAUAAGAGGACUCCACCCUAGUAAUAAUAACUGGGCUUCAGCAUUUUAGACUAGUGGUUUGGGCCCAACAAGUUAUUAUUGCUAGUUAGUUGGGUCGUUAUAUUUGGUACCAGAGCCAGUUCACCGGCCUGAAGUGUGAGAAGAGUCUUGGCUGAGCUAGGGUCGGAAUGACAGACUAAGCCAAGGUCGGUGAUUGAUAGGCUAAGUUAGGGUCGGAAUGACAAAGACUAGCAAGAUAAGUCUCACAUCCCUUGGUGAUCUUGUGGUGCUCUACUAUUUGUUCUAUUGCUUUCACACAAAGCUCUAAUGAUUACUCCUUAUUCACUCGUCAUUCCACUACUGGAAUAAUAGCUCUUUUGAUUUAUGUUGAUGACAUAGUUAUAACAGAGGAUGAUAUUAGCGGCAUUGUUGAGUUAAAGAAAUUUCUUCAUGGUUUCUUUCAUAUGAAAGAUCUUGGUUCACUUAAUUACUUUCUUGGGUUGGAGGUUUCCUAUUCAGCAAAUGAAUUAUUUCUUCAUCAAAAGAAAUACAAUGACGACUUGAUCAAGUUAGCUAAUCUCACAAAUAACAAAUUAUCUGCUACGCCAAUGGAACUUAAUGUCAACCUACAGAGAGAAGUUGGACAACCUGUUUCAGAUUCAAACUUGUAUCGGCGUCUUGUGGGGAGUCUUAUCUACCUUACUAUCACACAACCAGAUAUUUCAUUUGCAGUUCAAGUAGUGAGUCAAUUCGUUUCUGAUCCACGACGCAUACAUCUUUCUGCACUUCAUCGUAUCAUUCGAUAUCUUAAAGGAACACUUGGUCGUGGCUUAUUUUUUUCCUUCACAUUCUUCUCUUGCUCUUACUGCUUUGGCUAAUGCUGACUAUGCUGGUUGUCUUGACACUAGACGAUCAACCACUAGUUGGUGUAUUUUCUUAGGUUCAUCAUCCAUCUCAUGGAAAUGUAAGAAGCAAGACAAAGUUGCCAAGUCCUCCACAGAAGCAGAAUAUCAAUCUAUGCCAUCAGUCAGUUCCGAAAUUAUUUGGCUUCGCCAACUUCUCGCGGAAUUAGGUGUGACUUACCCACACUCAACAACUCUGCAUGCAGAUAAUACAAGUGCUAUUCGUAUUACAACCAACCCAGUACUUCAUUAAAGAACUAAGCACAUUGAGGUGGACUGUCAAUAUAUUCGAAAACUUGUACAAAACAAAAUUAUUGCCCUCUCUUACGUGAUCAAAUUGCAGGCCUAUUCACCAAAUCUAGUUCUUCAUCUCGCCAUGCUUAUUUGGUUAACAAAUUGAUGUUUGUUAAUUCGCAGCAUCAAUUUGAGGGGGGGGGGGGGGGAAAGGAAAGUCUUGGAGAAUGGCUAAUAUCAAGGGCUUAUUAACUCCUAUAAUCAACUGCCUAAUUCUUUCCAGAUUAUCUCCAUUAAUUAUGCAUUUGUACCUUAUUUGAUAUUUCUUACUAUACAUUCUUUAUUCUCUAUUAUACAUAAAUACAUGUACAGGAUAUUAAUAAAGUUAUUAGAGAGAGCUCUUUGUUUCUCAUCUUGUCUCAUUUGUAUUCUCUUUACAAUAUUAUCACGUAGUGCCUUUCGAAUUCGGCGCUCCCUCUUUCUUCACCGUGGAGAAGGACUUCUGAUUGCUUCUUUGUCCUGCUCAGUCUCUUCUUCUUUGCAGGUGCCAUUAGAGAGGCGAGUCUUAACUAUGGGUUAAACUUACAUUAUAGUAUGGGAAGAAGAGGUGAGUAAGUAGUGAAAAUGACGAAAUAGCAAUACAAAGGACGAACUAACCGAUCGUUAAGCAGUACAAAAGACAAAAAGAGUGGAGCAAAGGACAAAGGGGAGCACUAUAUAAGCAGUUGGAGUCUGCAAGUUUUGGAAAGGAGAGAGGGCAGAGAGAGGAGAGAGAGGGCGGGCAGAGAGAGAGAAGAGAAAGGAAGAGAUUUGAGGGGGUACAGCCCAAGUGCCUAAAAAAAAAGAAAAUAAGGUGCGGUGUAUAGAAAGGCCCGGUCUACAAAGUAUCCAUAAAGGAGCACACUUAACCAAAAUUAUGGGGAAGCCUCCAUCUUAGUUAAGCAUUCACCCUUUAAUGUUAUUGUAUUGACUCUUGUUAUCUCUUAUCAUCGAUUUAUUUAUUCGAUUAAUAAAGUAUCUAUAGAUAUAUUAAAAGUUGAGUUUUACUGUGGCCACGUGUCGGCUUCUCAGCGCCCCUCUCAUUCGAUACCUUCGUGAGCGCGCGAGGAGCGCGGGUCGCACGCACGCGGCAGCACGGGCGGACGCGGGCGCGCGAGGGGUGCGAGAGCGCGCGGCGGGGGUCUGUGGCAUGAUGUGGCCAGCCGGGCUGGGCCGGUUGCAGCGAACCGGGCCGGGCCGGGGUGCGCUGCAGGUGGAAGCACGGGCGGGCGAGGGCUGGUAUGCGGAGGGGCAGCGAGCGGGCGCGGCGCGGCGCCACGCACAUGGCAGAGUGGGGCCCGGGGCGGCGCGGCGGGCGGCUCGAGCUUGGGCGCGGGCUGGCGUGGGUUGUGGCGGACUUCUCCUCCCCCUUUCCUUCCCUUUUCCUCUCUCCCUCUCUCUCUCUUUCCCUCUCCUUUACCCCUACAGGGGGAUUGCACGGCGGCUGCACUGGACUGGUAACUGGCGCGCGGUGGGCGCGGGGUGGAGUGUGGCAGUCGACGGGCACCCCCUCUCUCUUCCCAUCUCUCUAUCUCGCGUCUCCCUCUCCUCCCACGGGAUAGGAGUGCCCCGGCCGGCACCGAGUGCAGGCAGGCCGCGGUGGCGGCGGCUUCGAGUUCCCCUCCCCUCCCUCCUCUUCUCUCUCUUCUCUCUCCUCCCUCUCUCUCCCCUCAGGGGCCGCGAGCAGAACGCGCGCGGAUGUGGGCGCUCGGAGCGCCCCCUCUCUCUCUCUCUCCUCCAAUCUCUCAAUCUCUCUUAGUUGUCAAAUUUAAAAUGUAAAAUUUUUAAAAAAAAUUUAAGUUUAAAAACUUUACAUUCAAAUCUAAAUUAAAAUUAAAUAUUUUAAAUUAUUAAAUUUUUUUUUAUUUGAAAUUUAAAUUUAAAUUUAAAUAUAAAUUGUUGAAGUUUUAAAAUUUAUCUUAAAUUUGAAAUUGGAUUAAAUUUUAAUAUUUGAAAUUUAUAUUUGAAUUUUUUAAUUCAAUUAUAAUUUAAUAUUUAAAAUAUUGAAUUUUGAAAUUUUAAAGUUGAAAUUAAAAUUAACACAAAAUUUGUAUUUUAUUUAUUACUUAAAAUAAAUUUAAAAUAUUAAAAUUUAAUAUUUAAACUUUUUUAAAUUUAUUAUAAUUUAAUUUUUAAAAAUUAUUAAAUUUGAAUUUAAAAUAUAAAACUUUAAAUUUAAAAAUUUUAUAUUUUUUUUAUAAUUACUAAAACUAAAAUUUUUCAAUUUUAACAUUGUUUUAAACUUUAAUUUAAGUUCCCUAAUAAAAAAAAUUUAUAAUUUUACAUUUUUAUUCAACUUUGUGUAUUUUUAAAUUUAAAAUAUUUAAAAUUAAUAUUUUGAACCUUAAAUUUAAAUUUGUAUAUUUGAUUAUUAAAAAAUGCCUAAAAACUAUAUUUAAAUCUAAAGUUCUUGAAAGAGUUUGUUGAAAGUUCAUCAAUUUUGAAUUUAAAUCUUGCAAUGAUAGUUUUAAAAUUCAACUAUAGAAAUCAAAUUUAAAUUUUAAAUUGAAGAAUCAAACUGAAAUUUUAGUUCUGUGCCGAAUGGUUGAUCCGUUGCGAAGCCGGUGCCCUAGACUAGUUUUUGGAUUAAUGGCUUGUUGCGCUAGUCAGUACUUUUACUUUAUGUUGAAUAUCUCGAGGAAAACAAGUUCUAUCUGCAAAAAAGAUGAUUUCAGUUUUAGUUGUGUAUUUAUUCCUGCUGAUUUAUAUAAACUAAUGGUAGGGGGGAAAAUGUGUUUAUUAAUUUUCUGUUUAGAUUAUUUCUGUAUAUACGUUGUAUUUCUAACGCCGCUUGCAUGUACAAAAAAAACUCUAUUUGUCUGUGGCAUUAUAAAAAAUUUGGCGGUGUGUUGUCGGAAUCUGUUUCGAAUCUUAGGACCAGAUGUCUAUAUAAAUAUUUAGAUGAUUAAAUGUUUAAUUGUUUCCGCUUAUGGUUGUCUAACAAAAAAUAUAAAUUCUAGUUGCUUUUCGCAAAACUCAUUGAGGGCGGAUACGGUUUGUUGGACGCCUUGCUUUAGUCAAGUUAUGAUAAUAUAUAGAAAAUAAUAUUCUUCUUAUUUGAUUUAAUAUUACAAAGAACUCUUAUAUAAUGAUGAGGUCAAGCUAAUCAUAGGAAUCAUGUAUUAUGGUAGAAAAUAAUGUAAGUAUACAAUAAUAUAAGGAAUGUCUAAUAUCCUGUUAAAAAUAAAUGAAAUAGGCAUUAAUAAGGGAAUAUUAUUAUAUAAAGUAGUAACAUACCCUCCGCAUAUUCAAUGGGGAGUAGAAUUCAUCUGAUGUGAGUUUUUGAUAGAAAAAAAGUAUGAUGUCGUUGAUGUAGGUCUGUAGAUUUGGGUUGAAAAAAUUUCAGUAAGGUAGAGGGGAACGAACGGCAAGUAGAUAUGUCCAUUAAUAUAAUGAUUGGCGCACAAGUGACAAUCAAUUUUAUAUGUUUAUGUUCAUGAAAAGACAGGUUAUUUUCACAAUUUUGAUAGCACUUGAUUUGUACAGUAUAAAGGUUGUUGAAGUAGCAGGCACUGUGACACGAGGUUCACCAAGGAUGUCGCGUUCUUCAUAUUCUGAGGGCGGCAAGAGGACCACAUAGCAGAUAUCAGCUUCCGUACUAAAAUUUCGGCGACAAUAUCUUGUUUCUUUGAACGCCAAGAAAUUAGAGAUCCUAAAAGAAAGCAAUAGCCUAGUCGUAGACGGACUGAUCAGGUAGGAUCCUCAGCCCAAUACAGCAUCCACAAUAGGCACGAAGUGAGGCUUGGAAAGAGGAAAAAAGAUAUAGGAACUUUUGAUGAAUACUUUCUUCGCAAAUAGGCGCAAAUACGUAAAAGCGCAGCAUAGUGGACAGAAUUUAGGCGCUGCAAUAAUUGACUAACAAUUGAACCACAUAAGCAAUGUCGGGGCGAGAUAUUGUGAGAUAGGGACUUAACGCACCACGAGGCUCACCGAAUAAACGUUGUUAGGUUAGUGAGAGGUUUUUCGCAUAUUUUGGAGUUAGUUUUUGUGGUUUGCAUAAGAGUAACUCAACAGAUGUCAAGUAUCAAUGGCUCAGCACGAGAUAACAGGCAGCAGUUGUAUUUUGUCGAGAAAUAUAUUCACGUCCGCAUAUCGCAACUUGGUCGAUUCUGGGCCCAGUAUUACAGAUCGCCGAACGAACCAGAACUCUCUGUUCGUCCAAGCAACACACAAACAACAAACUAUUGUAUAAAGAACAUGCGCCUAUGAAUAUUUUAAGAACGCUGGCUUGCACUCGAGUGCCAAGCAACAUGAAGUAUAAAGUAUAAUUAUACUAAAACAUUCGUAUCAUUAUUUAUCUUGAUACUUUAAUCAACACGAAGCUUACUAUAAUUAUUACAUUUCAUUAUCUUCAAUAUAUACUACUGCCAUAACUUUCAAUAUGAUAAUUUACAUUUACUUUCAUCAACUAUUUUAACAGAUAAUAUAAUUAUAGGUACUAACUAUACUUCAAUGAGGUCUGCUAUCUAUAGCGCGCGCUGUUCCGUUCACAAUCCUUGAUACCCCGUACGAACGGUAGGAACCUGCAUGGUUAAGUGGGGUGAGACUACUGAAAGUUCCCAAUGGGUCGGGGACUCUGCGACUCACCCACUAGUCUAAUUCAGGCAAUUGUAGGGUAAGAAAAGAAGUAACGAUAGUAACCAACUAUAUCAAGUAUAACUACUACAUGCAGAUACAAAGCUGAAAAUAAGUUUAAUAUAAUAAUAUGAUGAAGUUAUGGCAUGCAUGUACUGGUAACAAUACCAAAUCAACCUGUUAACAUUUUGGUUAACCAUAAUCACUAACAAAUCUCUUUUUUACUCAGGGGGAAAUUCCGCUAUACACCCGACUGGCGACCGUCCUGGCUGGACAAGUACGUUAGCCAUGGGAAAUACGUUAGCCCAUCAAGGCGUGACAACUCCGGAGUGCACUGCUUGGGUGCGAGGACCGACGCAAAGCUCAAAACAGAACUAUGUGAGUAUGAUUUGAUCCUCCUUUAGAGGGUCCAACAAAUGACAAUGCCACACUUUAACUCUAACUAGUUCUUUAUGCUAGUUCUAUAAUUUCAAUCUCGAUGCUAAUCAAUUCCCUAGUCAUAAUGUCACAAAAUUCACUAUUGUAAUGGUCCAUAAUAAAUUCACACAUUUAUAGGGUUCUAUGUUUACUAACCAUUGUCCAACUGGACUUUGCCUUCAAAGCAUACAAAUAGACCACAUGUCAAUCUAAUCACAUAUCAAACUCAACCCUAUAAUGUAUGAAUAUCAACUAUACAUAUACAAUCCAUGUAUGCUCAAGAAAAGUAACAUAAACAUAAUAGGUCAUUCGAUGACUUUGGAAAGCACCACCCACCUGUAGGGAUGCCAACAGAUUAGAACCAACGUCUUAAACUGUAUCAACAACGAGCUCUCGCGACUCGGUGCAAAUAGAGUUAGAACGGCUUCUACCGUAACUAGUGCGCCGUAGAUCUAUCGGAAUGUUAAUUUAAACUUCCGAACACGUCUAACCUUCAUUCAGAAAGGAAUAAAAGAGGUUAAACUUCAGUUAUAUUCACAUCUUCUACAACUUUGCAUUUCGACUCCAACUUGUAUAUAUUAUUAACAUAUACAUAUACUUGUUCGUACUACUAAACUUCUUAUCAAUUCUAUCCAUUAGUAACUGAGAAUUAGGGAUAAAUAACCUCACUUUUAAGCAGGAUUUCAUAUGAUCUUAACUUAGAUUUUAUCUUCCAACACUUAAUCAUAAGUAUAUAUAUAUAUAUAUAUAUAUAUAUGCAUAUACUCACACAUCUAUAUACUUAGAGUUAGCUUAUGGAAUUCACAAUGCAGUUUUGUGAUUUCCACUAGCUCCAACUCCCACAGGACUUCCAAUUAGCAUCUCCCUGUUAUAUUAAUUGAAUUUCAAUCCAUACAUAACCAUAAUUAUCUUAAUUUGCUAUUCAAUUAACUCAUUUUCAGCUUUAAUAACCAGCAGGAAUCAAUGCUGAAAUCUGCAGGAAUCUACUCUAUUACUUCUCUUUUGACAGCCAUUACAUCAUCGAACACUCCAUUCUAUAGUUUAAAACUCUUCUAAAUUAGUUAACACCCAAUCCAUCUAGUUACCUUCAGCUCCAAUCAGCGAGGAAUUUUACUUUAAAGCUUCUUUUUCCACUCAACCUCAAAAUCUGCACUAUGUUGAAAUUUCUACACUUUGCGGAAAUUCUGCACUUUACUUCCUCUUUGUGCAGCCGCUACAAACCUAGAACAAUUAGUUCUCUUGCUUAGAACUCUUCUAGAGUAACUAAUAUAACUCUAACCAGAGAUAAGCAUCAAUCUUACCUCAAUUUGCAGCUUCAACAAGCUUUCUUUCAGCUCCAACAGCAGGGUAUUUAUGCUGAAAUUCCGUUUAUGUUUGCUUCACAGCCCCUAUAUCACUUUAAGUAAGUAACUCUAGUACUUACAACCCCUUUAAUGUAAUUCUUAUCACUCAAACCAGGGAAGAGACAUUCAUUUACCUCCUAUGAAGCUUUCCUCUCAGGUCCUUCUCAAUUCGGCUCACCAAAAAGCUCCAUCAAGUUCCCUUCUCCAAUUCGAGUGCCCAAAACUCAUCAAGGCAGCCGCUGAAACUCCAAUCAGCCCAAUUAAAGCUUCUUUAGUGCAAUUAACUCAACUCUAAUUAACAUUAGAUCACACUUACAUACCAUUCAUAAGUAUAUAUAUAUACAUGCUGCCACAACUUCCCCUAAGCUUUUCUAUGGUAUUAGGAAUCCUAAUACUUAAAAUUUGUGAUUCCAAUCCUUAGAAGGUACAUGCACAAACCCCUCCAAACCAGGAAUUAACUUCCCUACACAUCAAUUUCAGUUUUUAACAGCAACUUACACUUACAUACUCAUAACAUGUGAUCUUUAGCAUAAUUCUUAGAUUUCACACCUACUAAUACAACUUUUAACCUCUUAGAGCCUUCUCAUAGAGUAGCUACACCAAAUCCUGGCUGAGGAACAGCUCCUUACCUCAGGUUUCGAAGCUUUCAUAGCAGCGUUUCCAAUUCGGCAGCUCCACCAAGCCCAAAACGCAAGCUGUCCACUUCUUGAACCAAACCUCCACUAGCCUAGAGAGAGAAAGAGGAAGAAAGAAAUAAAAAGAAAGAAGAGAGAGAGAGAGCUGGAUAUGUGGACAUAUGCAGGGGACCAGGUUUAAGGGGAUAAGGCUGAAAAACUGCAACUUAAUCCCUUAAAAACCAAAAAGUGCAUUGCAGCCUUGCUGUUUAUAAUUUGGUCCCUGCGGCUUUAUAAUUCAGUCCCUACACUAACAACAAGCUGGCAGCAGCAAUUUGAAGCCUUUUUCUGUGUCUGGUUCACUCCGAACACUUCUAAUCACUUCCAAAUUAUGUCAAAUAACCUCUACAAGCUGCCAAUUUAAUUUGGAAGCAAUUAAUUUUCGUUUUGACAUUAUUUCGAUCAAGAUUUGCUGCGAAAUCAAAAUUCGACAUAUUACAUCCAAGCAUCUCCGAAAUCUGCUAUUAACUAUUCUCGCACUUCCAAAAUAAUUCGGAGGUACUACAAUUAACAUUCAUAGUUCACUUUGAUCGCGUAGGUCAAAGUUAGCGUCAUAAUCCGAAAAUCCCCUUUCAAGUUCAUUUCGCGCCCGAUUUGUGCCCAAAUACUCAAUUACCUCUAGAAAUCAUUCUCACACCUUCAAAAUCACUUGGGAAAUAUACAUAUCGAAUUCAAACUUUACUUUAAUCUUCUAGAUUAAAGUUAACAUUGCAACCCGAAAUUCUCCGUAUAUUACAAUAUAUAUCCUCGAGGACUAUAUGCCACUUCAAUCCCCAAAAAAUAUCGAAGAGGGCCAAGAUCUUUCAUGUCAAAUUGUUGCUGGAGAUAGGAUUUAACGGAAUGAAUACAAUCAGGGUCAUCGCCAGUAAUUAUCAUAUCAUCAACAUACAAAAGUAAGGCAGUGAGCCCGCUAGCAGAAGUAUGAAUAAAUAAGGCAUGAUCAUUUCCGCUUUGAUGAAAUCCAAAAGAAAGAAUAGCUGACUAAUUUUUCAAACCAAGCUCGGGGAGCUUGUUUAAGGCCAUAUAAAGCCUUCCGAAGCCGACAAACAUGACCGGAUGAAUGGGAAAGACCAGGAGAUGGUUGCAUAUAAACUUCUUCAUGAAGAUCCCCAUGUAAGAAGGUAUUUUUAACAUCAAGUUGGUAAAGAGGCCAGCUACGAGAAGCAGCGAGAGCAAUAAGGAUGCGAACAGAAGUUAUCUUAGCAACAGGGGUGAAUGCCUCCUCAUAAUCAAUGCCAUAUUCUUGAGAGAACCCUCGAGCAACUAAACGAGCCUUAUAGCAAUCAAUUUAGCCAUCAAACUUUGUCUUGACUUUAUAAAUCCACUUACAACUGAAUGGAGUCUUGCCAAGCGGGAGAGGAACUAGUUCCUAGGUACCAGUACAAUAAAGGGCAGUAAGUUCUGUGGUCAUUGCAUCUCGCCAUUCAGGAAUGGAAACGGCCUAGCGGUAUGUACGUGGUUCCUGGUUAUUAGAAAUAUUUGCAAGAAAAGCAUGAUAUCGUGGAGAAAAAGAAGGAGAGGCAAGACAACCGAAAAAUUAUGUGGGGCGGCGAGUACGCAGUGGAUAGCGGCGCUCAGCAGUCGUGAGAUCGUCGGAAGGAACAGUAAUUGGUGGGUCGUCAUGUGGUGCCGGUACUAUAGAACCUUCUACAGAAGACGAAGAUGCAGUGGGUUGAGAGACAAUUCGUUGGGGCUCUUCGGGAGAAGAUGUGGUGGUCGACGAAGAAUUAACAAGAAAUGAAAGAUCAAUAACAAAAGGUGAAGAAACGGCGGAGGGAUCAACACUUAACUUAGAUUGAGCAUAAUAUGAUAAAUGUUCAAGAAAAAUGACAUCUCGAGAGAUUCGCAUGCGACGAGUAGUAGGAUCAUAACAUCUGUGCCCUUUAUGCUCAAGACUAUAUCCUAAGGAAACACAAAUUGACGAUUUCGGAGUUAGUUUGGUUUGUUCAUGCGGAGGCAAGAGAACAAGACAAGUACAUCCAAAAACACGCAAAUGAGUAUAAGAUGGUGAUUUAGCAUACAAUCGCUCACUAGGAGAAACGCCAGAGAAAAGACUGGAGGGCAUAAUAUUAAUCAGAUAACUGCGGUAGAAACUGCAUCAGCCCAAAAUUGUUUAGGCACAGACCCAUCAAUUAGAAGAGAGCAAGCAGUUUCAAGGAUAUGUCAGUGUUUACGCUCAGCAACACCAUUCUGUUGAGGUGUAUAAGGGCAAGAGAGUUGCAGCAAAGUACCAUAUUUAGCGAGAAUUUGGCGAAAUUCAUUUGAAAGAUACUCACCACCAGAAUCAGAGCGGAAAGUUUUAAUGGUGGCACCAAAUUGAGUUUGAACCAUGAUAGAGAAAUUUUGAUACAAUUGAAAAAGUUCAGAUUUGUUAUGCAUAAAAUAAACCCAGGUAAAGCAUGAGUAAUCGUCAAUGAAAAUAACAUAAUAUUUAUUUCCAACACGGGUUGAUAUAGGUGCCGGUCCCCAAACAUCGGAGUGAAUAAGAUCACAUGGUGCACUUGAAACAUAAUUGCUAGCAGGAAAGGUUUAAUGGAAAGUUUAGCAAGUUUGCAUCCAAUGCAAGAAACGGAUUCAGAAUUAAAAACAGGGCCUAAUACACCACUACGAACUAAAACUGUAAACUUAUCAGAAGAGAGAUGACCGAGACGACGAUGCCAUAAAUCAGAAUUUGAAGUUGUAGCAAUAUUUGCUAAGUUAAUUUUAGUAGGAAGGUGCAGAUAGUCCAUGUAGUACAGGCAGUCACGUCUAUGACCCUGUCCAAUCAAAGUCCCGGUCCGACGAUCCUGCACAAGACAAGAAGAAGAAUCAAAGGUCACUGUGCAAUCAUGAUCAGUAAUUUGGCUAACAGAUAAUAAGUUAAGAGAGAAUUGUGGUAUAUGUAGGACAAAAGGAAUAGUAAAGCGUCCUGAAGUAUCAGAUUUAGGUGAAAGAGCGCCACUAUUAUUGACAGAAAGAGAGGUACCAUCAGCAGUAAAAAUGUGUGAAGGUGAAUUUAAUUGAGAGGUGAAGAAAGUAAAGAAGCAUGUGGUGUCAUAUGAAAUGAUGUGCCUGAGUCUAAAAUCCAGGAAUGUUUCGAAAUACCUCCAGGACCAGUCAUACCAAAACUUGAUGGUGUAGAUUGGAAAGAUAGAGGAGGACUGCCCUGACAAAGUGGAUGGAGUCAACUGGUGUUGCUGAAACAUCUGCAGUAGUUGAGGAAUACUCAAUUGAAUAGUUGAAGGUUGCUGCUCUGUAGAUGACGCGUUGUUGACCGGAGGAACAAAAGGAGCAGAUGCAAUAGUAGGCAUAUUAUGAGAGGAUCGUAAAUGCUGAUCUGCCCAUUUCUUUUUUCGGCAAUCUUGAAUUGAGUGGCCCCAAAGAUGACAGUAACGACAUUGGAUGCUCUGUUUGUCUUUUCUAGUACCAGGAUUUGGAAUGUAAUUAGAAGGCGGUUGAUGAUGAGAAGUAGGCGCUGGCACAGGAGGUGGAUUGGUAGGACAAUGAGCAGCAAGAACAUUAGGUAUUGCAGAAGCAGAGGAACUCAAAACUUGAAGACGUGUCUCCUCGGCAAUCAGUUCCGCGAGAGCCACAUCAAUAGUAGGGAAGGGAGUUUGAUAGAGUAGUUGGCCACGUAACGCUUCAAACUCAGGUCGUAGGCACAUAAGAAACUAGAACAAUCGUUGUUGAUCACGCACCUGCUUUUGCUUGACAGUAUACUAACAAGCUGAGCAAGUGCGACACAAGUGUUCAUCCAUAGUCGCUAGUUGACGCCAACGAGCCUGCAUAAAACUGUAAAACUCUUGGAUACUACGCUCACCUUGAUAAGCCAUGGAGAUCUCUUGAAACUCAGCAUACGAUUGAGCAUAACUAGACUGCUCAUACAUCUGCCGAAGAAGAGACCACAUCUGGUGAGCGGUGGACAAAUUGAUAAGCUGCAUCCGAAUGUCUAUGUUUACCGAUGUAGAAAUAAUUCCACGAGCACGUCGAUCAGCAACAAGCCAGUCUUUGAGUUUGGAAUCAUUGGUUGGUGGACCAGCACCAUCAAUAUGUCCAGUUAGAUUGAGAGCAUCAAACAAGAGUUGAAUGGACACCGACCGUUCACGAUAAUUAAGCUCGGAGAGUUUAACAUCGAGCUGAGCAAUAGUCGGUGUAGGAACCUGUACAGGUGGCAUCGAUGGAGGUGCCGAUGUAGGAACCUAUACAAGCGGCAUCGAUGGAGGUGCGGAUGUCGUGAUAGAACCAGGUCGAGAGAAACCGACGGCAAGCUUGUGACGACAAGCUUUUGCGGAUUAAGCUAGUCGCUCUCUUAUACUAUGAAAACAAAGGAUAAUUGGAGAAGAAAUAUUUUUCUUUCUUAUUUGAUAAAUUACAAAAAACCUCUUUAUAUAAAGAGAGGUCAAGCUAAUACAUGGUGAAUCAUGAAUUGGUAAGGAAACUAAUAUAGUAUACAAUAAUAUAAGGAAUGUCUAAUAUCCUGUAAAAGAAAAGAAAUAAGGAAAUAAGGAAAAUAUUUAUAUAAAGUAACAACCCCCCGCAAACUCAAGGUGGAGUAAACGCUGAGAGUUUGGAUAGAAAGUAUUGAUGUCGUUGAGUAGUCUGAGAUUUGGUGAAAAAAUCAGCAAGUUGUUGAGUAGAGGGAACGAACGGCAGAGAUAUCGUUCCAUUAAUAUAAUGAUGGCGCACAAAGUGACAAUCAAUUUCUAUAUGUUUAAUACGUUCAUGAAAGACAGGAUUAUUCACAAUUUUGAUAGCACUUUGAUUGUCACAGUAUAAAGGUGUUGAAGUAGAGCACUGGACACCGAGGUCACCAAGGAGUCGGCGAAGCCAUACAAUUUCUGAGGCGGCAGAGGACAUAGCACGAUAUUCAGCUUCCGUACUAAAUUUGGCGACAAUAUCUUGUUUCUUUGAACGCCAAGAAAUUAGAGAAUCCCUAAAGAAAACGCAAUAGCCAGUCGUAGACCGACGAUCAGUAGGAUCUCCAGCCCAAUCAGCAUCACAAUAGGCACGAAGUUGAGGCUUGGAAGAGGAAAAAAAGAAUAGACUUUGAUGAAUACUUCCUCGCAAAUAGCGCAAGAUACGUAAAAGAGCAGCAUAGUGAACAGAAGUAGGCGCCUGCAUAAAUUGACUAACAAUAUGAACCACAUAAGCAAUGUCGGGGCGAGAUAUAGUGAGAUAGACUAAUGCACCAACUAGCUCACGAUAACGUGUAGGAUUAGUGAGAGGUUCGCCCAUAGUUGGAGUUAGUUUUUGGUGGAUUUGCAUAAGAGUACUCACAGAGUCAGUAUCAAUGAGCUCAGCACGAGAUAACAAGUCAGCAGUGUAUUUUUGUCGAGACAAUAUAUGUCACGUCCCGCUAUCGCCAAUUUGGUCGAUUCGGGCCCGUAUACAGACGCCGAACGAACAGAACCUCCUCUGUUCGUCCAAGGCUCAACAACAACAACAAACAUGUAUAAAGAAAUGCCCAGAAAAAUUUUAAGAUACAUGGCUUGCACGAGGGCAAGCAACAUAGCAAGUAAAAGUAAACUAACUAAAACAUUCGUACAUUAUAUCUUGAUUACUUUAAAUCAAAUACAAAGCUUACAUAAUUAUUACAUUCAUUCUUCCAAUAUAUACACUGCCAACUCUCAAAUGAAUAAUUUACAUUUACUUUCAUCAACUAUAAACAGAUGAAAUAAAUAAGGUACAACUAUACUCAAUGGAUGUCGCUAUCUAUAGCGCGCUGUCCCUGUCACGAUCCUCGACCACCCCGCACGAACUAGAACCUGCAUGGUUAGUGGGGUGAGAACUACUGAAAGUUCCCAGUGGGUUCGGCCGCCGACCUCGCCGACUCACCCACUAGGUCUAUUCAGGCAUAUGUAGGUAAGAAAAGAGAACAGAUAGUAACCAACUAUAUCAAGUAACUACUACAAUGCCAGUACAAAGCUGAAAAGAACAAUAUAUAAUAGAUGAAAGUUAUGCAUGCAUGCUACUGGUAACCAAUACCCAAUCAACCUGGUUAACCAUUUGGUUAACCAUAACUCACUAACCAAAUCUCUUUUUAUCAGGGGGAAUUCCGCUACAACCCGACGGGACCGUCUGCUGGACAAGUACGUUAGUCCAUGGGCAAAUACGUUAGCCCAUCAGGUGACAACUCCGGAGUGCACUGCUUGGGUGGAGCGACCACCGCCAAGCUCAAAACAGACUAUGUGAGUAUGAUCCAAUCCUCACUUAGAGGAUAUACUAACAAUGCCACACUUUAACUCUAACUAGCUCUUUAUGCUAGUUUUACAAUCUCGAUGCUAACCAAUUCUCUAGUCAUAAUGUCACCAAAUUCACUAUUGUCAUGGUCCACAAUAAAUUCACACAUUCAUAGGGUUCUAUGUCCAUAUUCUAUUGUUCACAUGUUCUUUACAUUGACAGAAAUUCACUUGUUCAGUUACUCACUGCAUAGUGACAAUCUUCUUAUAAUGCAUGAAUAUAAUACAAUUCAUAGAUAGAUAUGCUCAACAGGGCGACAUAGACAUAAAGAGAGAUUCGAAGAUUUCGGAUAGCACCACCCACCUGUAGGGAUGCCAACAGAUUAGAACCAACGUCUUAAACUGUAUCAACAACGAGCUCUCGCGACUCGGUGCAAAUAGAGUUAGAACGGCUUCUACCGUAACUAGUGCGCCGUAGAUCUAUCGGAAUGUUAAUUUAAACUUCCGAACACGUCUAACCUUCAUUCAGAAAGGAAUAAAAGAGGUUAAACUUCAGUUAUAUUCACAUCUUCUACAACUUUGCAUUUCGACUCCAACUUGUAUAUAUUAUUAACAUAUACAUAUACUUGUUCGUACUACUAAACUUCUUAUCAAUUCUAUCCAUUAGUAACUGAGAAUUAGGGAUAAAUAACCUCACUUUUAAGCAGGAUUUCAUAUGAUCUUAACUUAGAUUUUAUCUUCCAACACUUAAUCAUAAGUAUAUAUAUAUAUAUAUAUAUAUAUAUGCAUAUACUCACACAUCUAUAUACUUAGAGUUAGCUUAUGGAAUUCACAAUGCAGUUUUGUGAUUUCCACUAGCUCCAACUCCCACAGGACUUCCAAUUAGCAUCUCCCUGUUAUAUUAAUUGAAUUUCAAUCCAUACAUAACCAUAAUUAUCUUAAUUUGCUAUUCAAUUAACUCAUUUUCAGCUUUAAUAACCAGCAGGAAUCAAUGCUGAAAUCUGCAGGAAUCUACUCUAUUACUUCUCUUUUGACAGCCAUUACAUCAUCGAACACUCCAUUCUAUAGUUUAAAACUCUUCUAAAUUAGUUAACACCCAAUCCAUCUAGUUACCUUCAGCUCCAAUCAGCGAGGAAUUUUACUUUAAAGCUUCUUUUUCCACUCAACCUCAAAAUCUGCACUAUGUUGAAAUUUCUACACUUUGCGGAAAUUCUGCACUUUACUUCCUCUUUGUGCAGCCGCUACAAACCUAGAACAAUUAGUUCUCUUGCUUAGAACUCUUCUAGAGUAACUAAUAUAACUCUAACCAGAGAUAAGCAUCAAUCUUACCUCAAUUUGCAGCUUCAACAAGCUUUCUUUCAGCUCCAACAGCAGGGUAUUUAUGCUGAAAUUCCGUUUAUGUUUGCUUCACAGCCCCUAUAUCACUUUAAGUAAGUAACUCUAGUACUUACAACCCCUUUAAUGUAAUUCUUAUCACUCAAACCAGGGAAGAGACAUUCAUUUACCUCCUAUGAAGCUUUCCUCUCAGGUCCUUCUCAAUUCGGCUCACCAAAAAGCUCCAUCAAGUUCCCUUCUCCAAUUCGAGUGCCCAAAACUCAUCAAGGCAGCCGCUGAAACUCCAAUCAGCCCAAUUAAAGCUUCUUUAGUGCAAUUAACUCAACUCUAAUUAACAUUAGAUCACACUUACAUACCAUUCAUAAGUAUAUAUAUAUACAUGCUGCCACAACUUCCCCUAAGCUUUUCUAUGGUAUUAGGAAUCCUAAUACUUAAAAUUUGUGAUUCCAAUCCUUAGAAGGUACAUGCACAAACCCCUCCAAACCAGGAAUUAACUUCCCUACACAUCAAUUUCAGUUUUUAACAGCAACUUACACUUACAUACUCAUAACAUGUGAUCUUUAGCAUAAUUCUUAGAUUUCACACCUACUAAUACAACUUUUAACCUCUUAGAGCCUUCUCAUAGAGUAGCUACACCAAAUCCUGGCUGAGGAACAGCUCCUUACCUCAGGUUUCGAAGCUUUCAUAGCAGCGUUUCCAAUUCGGCAGCUCCACCAAGCCCAAAACGCAAGCUGUCCACUUCUUGAACCAAACCUCCACUAGCCUAGAGAGAGAAAGAGGAAGAAAGAAAUAAAAAGAAAGAAGAGAGAGAGAGAGCUGGAUAUGUGGACAUAUGCAGGGGACCAGGUUUAAGGGGAUAAGGCUGAAAAACUGCAACUUAAUCCCUUAAAAACCAAAAAGUGCAUUGCAGCCUUGCUGUUUAUAAUUUGGUCCCUGCGGCNUGUCUAAUAUCCUGUAAAAUAAAAGAAAUAAGGAAAUAAGGAAAAUAUUUAUAUGAAGUAACAAAGUAGAGCCUACUUUCAACAAUGCAUUAAUAUUUAAUUAAUUAAAUUGAGUUGUAGGACUCGAUUGUAAUAAUUUUAAAAAUUCAAGCUAAAAAUUACAACAAGUUAAACUUUAAGGACUAAAAUAUUACCUAGCUUAUAGGUUGAGAACCAAACAUGCAAUUUAUCCUAAUAAUAAUUAAAAUUUUAAAAUAUAUAUGUAUGGGGUUUUUGGGCUACUAAGCCUAUAUAACUUUUUAAUUGUAAGAAUAGGCAUUUAAAAUUUUUAUUUGUAAGCUUUUACAAAGCGGUGAAUUUCACAGCUUUUUCCAUAUUUCUAUUUCUAUAUUUCUAUUUCUAUAUUUUCUACGUUUGAAUUCUGAAGGAUAUAUAGUAUUAAACACAAAAAAAGUAGAAAGCAGUAAAUCAUUUGCUGCAUUUAGAGAGCGGCAAUUCAUUCACUGUAUAGCCUAGUUUUAUAAAUAUUUUUUUUUGAAGAACUAAUUUUAUAGUUAUAAUAUAUUUCAAAGCCUAUUGAUAAUGGAAUAAUAUCUAAUAUCCCCCUCAAAACUUCUAAAAUAUCUUAUAUAUAUAGUGCUACAUUUUUUUGUUUCAAAUAUCCCCCCUUAUAUUAUUACUUCGUUAUUUAAAAAUAACCCCGUUGUUAGUACCCGUUAAGUCAUCUCGAAUUAAAUUCAGGUUAAAUUUCUACCAGAAUUAAAAAGUAGUCAAAAUACCUCGUUUUUUUCUAACUUAAAGGCAAAUAAGAAAAAUUGGUGACGAUAGAAGGAUAUAUUUAAAAGGGCAAAAAGUCAAAAUAUUUUUUUUGCUCCUACCUGAAGGAUAAAUAAGAAAAAUUGAUGAGGGUAGAAAGAUAUAUUUAAAAUGACAAUAUAGUAAUUUUAUAGAAAUAACGGUUAUUCCUAGCAAUUAACUAAUAGAAUUUAACUCUAUAUGUCACGCCCCGGAUUACACUUUCCCCGGGCGCGCCGACAAAUCCGCCGUAUACAAAGGAAUUUCCCCUGUAUACGAAGCGAUAGCUGUACCAGAAAAUCAAACACUACCACGAACAGUAGUAGAGAGCUGCUGGAGAGAACAGAAGCUAAACAAACUGAGUUUCAUAUACAUAGUCCAGAUCCAAAAUACAAAGCUACUCGCACUGGCGAGUUAAGUCCACUAUGUACAUAAACUCGAAACAAAACAUCUACCUGCAGUAGGAGCACCUCUAGCUCAGCACGUCGGGUAGGGCUCUAACUCGCAACGCCCUUGCCUCGAUCCUGAUCCGCGGACGGUGCAGCAGCCGGAACCUGUGGCUCUGCAAAAACAUAGGUAACAACUGGGCGUGAGAACUACUGUAAAAACAAGUAGUCCUCAGUGGGUACCGCCCAAAACAACAUCGGUCUACCCACUAAGUCUACAGAAGGGAGCAAGAAUAGUAGUGAAAUGCAGGAAUAAAGUCUACCGCUAUCAAAUACUACACUAUCAUGCUCUACACUAACCAACUGUAGGAAAUGUCCAACCUGACCCAAUCCAAUCGGGACUGUAAGCAUACCCGUCCCCGGGACUGUGAAUACACCCGUCCCUGCCCCGUUGUGACUGUCAAGCUCUAUCCACACUAACUGGUCCGUGGAGAGCAGGUCCAACUGGCAUGAGCGACACCAACGCGAAAGCACAAAGCCUGACUCCGGAGUGGCACUCGUGGGCGCUACCCAACCGAGUAUGCAGCGUAUCUCUGUCGAGCUCAAUCAGGCUCCAACUAGCCAAAGUCAAGUAAACAGGGUCAAAACAGGUCUACAAACCAAACCCACGUGCCCUCGGCACAAUCUGUGACCAAAACAAGAAUCUGGGUCCACCGCUAACCCGAACGGCACCCAACGACCCGAAACAGCCUAAACUCUGCUGAAAAAUAAGCUCGGCAUCUCAGCACGAGCGUAAAUGCCUUCUAAACUACCUGGGGUACUCACAACCCGAAUACAAUAACUGUAUAAAAAUACAACGGCCCCUAAGGCUAAAUCAGGUAAUUCAACAUAUGCCAGAUUCCGAACGCUGAUUUUCUCCUAUGUUUUAUCCAAGUCCCACAUGUAUGAUUAAUAACAACUAAUAACAUGCUCCCAAUUCAGUUUAUAUGUCUAAAACAUACCUACUUAUGAAUUUGAGCUAAACAAACAAUAACAACUUGUAAUAUUAACGAUACAUGUCGAUGAACAAUAUUAUAGGAGUAGGAUUCCGAUGAUAAACCCACCUCGUAUGCUAAAUCCAACGCGGGGCGACGUCGAGAACGGCGAAACCACGCCCUCGCCCGGACUCCUCGCGAUGCUACGACUGCAACCGUAUCCUCGAACGGCUCCGCGGCGCGAUGUCGACGUUGAAUCCGAGCUCCACGGCUACUCCCCCAAGCUCCACCUCGUGUGGUUCUCUACUUCACACUAAAGAGAGAAAGCAAAAACUAAAUUAAUUAGAGCCACCCUCAACCAGAUAAGCAUGCAUGGGGGAGUGCACGUGGCAUCCAUAGCCAUGCACACUUAGUCUAGGUACUAAUAUAUACAUAUAUAUAUAUAUAUAAAGAAAGGAUACUACACUAUAAAGAUAUAUUUAAAAUAAAUUGGAACAUUAAAAAGUAUUUUUAAUGUUAGUUUCUAAGAGGGGUAAUAAAAAAGUCAGAAACGUUUUAAAAGUAUAUAUAAGGGUGUGUUUGGUUCCAUGUAAAACUACUCGAAAAUUUUUUUUCAGCUGAAAAUUAAAAUUCUGAUAUUUGGUUGCUCGUAAAACAAAAUCCUAAGCCGACCAAAAAGCACGGCGUUGGGGGCAACGGAGAGGUGCAGCACGCGGUCCAGUAUGUACACUCCACCUCGUGGACCGCGUGAGAUACACCUCUCUCUCCCCCUUUUUCUUAUAUAUAUAUAAAUAGUACUUUAUUUUUAAUAUAAAUAUACUAUUAUAUCGUACAUUUUUUUAGGUGCAGUUUCGUCACUACCCCUUUCAAAUAUAUAAAUAUCGCAAAUGCCCAUACAAAGUUGAAAAUAUCAUAUAUAUACCCUUUUAAAUACAAAAAAUUUUCACAAGUACCCUUCCUUCCAACGGCCGUUACUAUAACCAUGGUUACAGUUUAGUUAGGUGAGGGUUGAGUUACAAAAUAAUUAAUUUAGUCCUAAAAAGUUUAGGUAUUAUUUUGACAGCAAAUAAUUAAGGGGCAAUUUCAUAAGUAUCCUUCAAAAUUUUUAAAAUAGCAUCUCUAGCACAAAUUAUUAGUGGAUAAAAAAUAAAGAAAACCCUCACCUAUAGAUCAUUUUGAACUAGACCCCUUUAAAUUUUAUUUUUUAACAUUAAGAGGCCUUAAACUAUCAGUUUUUUUUUUUUUUUUAUUUGGACUUUACUUAGUUAAAAGUUUUUCAAUUGAGAUCCCUCACAUGAAUUUGAUAACAUUUUUUAAUUUUGUUGGGAAAAAAAUACUCAAUUGCUAAAAUUAAAAAAAAACACUUAGGUUGAGAGGGUAUAUAUAUAUAGAGAGAGAGAGAGAUUUGCUACAAAACUAUCGGUAGUACAACGCGGUUUACUGCGACUUGUUUUCAAUGACAGAGUUUCCAAAUUGAAAAUCGGCACCGUUAAAUAUAAUCUAAACUAUUAAACUAUCUGAAAAUCAAAUUUCAUGCUUUUCCAAGUUAGAAUUAUGUCGAAGUGGACUUGACUAUAAGUGAGAGGAUUUUCAUAAAUUGUACUUUAUUGUUAAAAAUAAAUUUUCAAUUAAUUUUUUUUUUGUUUGAGCAGAUCAUAUAAGUAAUACUCUAAUAUCAAGAAUUUUGAUAUCAAAAUAUUUUUAGCGUGAGAUAUGUGAGUUAUUUAAAUAAAAUUUUAAAAAAUAAAUCUUUAAAUACUUAAUGUUGAAUACUACUAUGGACAAUUGUAUUACAACUAUGUAUAAUUUAGAAGUGAAAAAUCAUAAUGAGAUUUAACUAUCACACUUAACAGACUAUAGAUCUUUAAUUAUAAAAUUUUUUAAAAAAUAUUAAAUUAUGAUGUGAUUCAAAAGUUAGAAAUUGAUCAUAUAAUUAAUCUUAAAUAUUACAUGGUUAAAUUCGUGCUAGGGGUAAAAUUGGUAUUUUCAAAAUAUUGGAUGACUUCUUGACGAAAAGUUAACCUAUAAAGCGUAUCUGUGAAUAUUAUUGGUUUAAGAGGGGUAUUGAUGAUAUUUUUUAAUUUAGAGGGUUAUUCAUGAAAUUAUGAUCUUCCAGAGGGGUAUAGAUGAAAUUAUCCCUUAUUUAUAAGGGUAUUUAUGAAAAGUGUAAAUAUAUCCGUUGUAAGUCGUACAAGGGUAGAAAUGGAAUUUACAACUUGUUCCGUUAGAUUCUUACGGCACGUUAUGUAUAGGGGUAUUUAUGAGUUUUUUUUGAAUUUAGAAGGGCAUUCAUAAUGUUUUUUAUUUUAGAGGGGUAUUAAUGAAAUUUCAGUCUCUUAUAAGGGUAUCUAUAAAAUUUUCCCUUAUUUUUAAUAUAAAUAUACUAUUAUAUAAUAUUUUAUUUAUAAAUAUAUAGUAAUUUAUUUAUUUUAUAGCAUUAAAUAUAUACUAUUAUAUAUUAUAUUACAUACUUAGUUAAAUUAUAAUACUGAUAUAUGUAAUACGAUAAUUAUAAUAUAUUAAUAAUAUAUAAUAUAUAAAAUAAAAAAAUAUAUAAUAACUUUUUAUUUAUAAUUUUUUUUUCUUUUAAUUAAACAACUGUAAUGAAAAACUAUUUUUUCAUCAAAAAUUAUUUUUUAUAAUUCUACGCGAAGCCAAACCACUCUUAUUAGGGUGCGUUUGGUUCGCACUAUGAAAGAUUACUAGCAAUAAAAAGAUGUCCGAGAAUCUUACUCUUAUUCAUCCUAUUACUAAGAAUGUGCUAUUCCUGUGUUUGGUUCGCACGGUUAUAUUAUUUAGUCAUGUUAUUUAAGUUUACAAAAAAUAUACAACUAAUUUAUUUAUUUCUUUAAUUAAUUUUAGAUAAUGCCACAAAAAAUUUCAACAUCUUUUUAGAAAAAGGGAGAGAGAGAACAUAGGUUAGAGAGAGAGUAUAAUUAAAGAAAUAAGAAGAGAAAUAGAGUCGAGAUUAGAGGGAGUGAGAGAGUUGAGAUUUUAGAAAAAGAGGGGGAAAGAGAGCUUAGUUUAGAGAGAGAAAAAGAGUUGAAGUUUAGAGAGAAAAAAUAAGUUUAGAGAGAGAUACGAUGUUAGAGUGUAAAGAAAAAUAAUACUAACUAGCCGGCGGCGGGUAGGGAGAAAGAAAGAGAUUAGACAUAUUAUGAUUAUCCCAAUCUAUUAAUAUGAGGAUACCCACCCUCCCUCAAGGGAAUGAGAUUAGUACUUUGGGAUGAAUCUUAUUUUCAAGUAAAUCUAAUAUUACCAACUAGAUUACUUAGUGCGUUUAGCUAAAUACCGUUAUAUUUUAUUAUUUUUAUUGGAUUACUAGAAAUUUUAAAAAGAUAGCGCGAACCAAACGAACCUUAUGGUAAUUGCUCCUGGCCCUUAUAUAAAAUUUUACGUAAUGUGCAUUAAAUUGUAACAAAAAAAAAAAAAUUAUAUACAAUUCUAAAAUUAUAAUAAUAUAUAUACGAUGAAAAUGGUUUGUACAAGGCUGGUUGUCCCUCUACUCCAACUCUUCUUUAUUAUGGGAUGGGAUGUCUCCGAAGGGACUCUACAGUCCACACCUCUCUCUACUUACUUUCCCUUGUUUGGUAUCUCUCCUGAGUCAUGACUUGGAUCCUCUCUGCUCCCUCUUCUUCUUUGCUCACGAUUUUGCAUGCUUUUCAUGGAUGUGUGUAAGGAGAAAUCCCCUUCAAUGGCGGAGCCGUUGACCGAGGACUUUGCCGAGUUGAGGCUAUCGGACGAGAUGUCGGCGCCGGAUUUAGAUAGCGGCGCCGGAGGGAAGGACGGCGCCGGGUUCUUGAGCUUUGUUGGUGUCUUACUUCCCUCUCUCUCUCUCUCUCUCUCUCUCUCUCUCUCUCUCUCUCUCUCUCUCUCUCAUUAUUAGUUCCCUCAUCAUGAGAACCAAACACCUUCAAAACUGUAUAAACUGAUCUGAAGUAAUGUUGUAUCCUGUUAGUUUUAUUGUACAGUAUUUUUACGCACUGUUUUAUCCCUUCUUAGUUCCCCAACAAGCCCGAUGCCCGCGGCACCGUUGGAGCCUAAUCAGGUAUUUUGUUUCUUUCUUUGAGUUGAAAUGAUGAAACUUAUUGCAAUUUUGUUGAAUGUAAUAUUUGUGAAUAUGUGGCUAAAACUGGUUUAUUGUCCUAUCUACUCAGAAAUUUAUGCAACAGUUUCUUAAUACAAGUACUGCAGCUUUCUUUUUCAUUAAGUACUUCACUCCGAACGUACAACUUGAUCAGAUUUUUUUCUAUUUUGAAUUCAAAGUUUGGCGCACGGUCAUUUUUGGAUUUAUGAUUCUUGAUUGGUUGAAGUAAAGCUGUUUCUUCUUAUUGUCUUAACAUUUUAAGUUAGCUUGGAAUUUAUAGCAAUCCUUUGUCUGCUGGAACGCAGUCCAAAAUUUGAGACAGCUCAAUAGAAUAGCCUGACUAAUUAUGAAUGGAACACUCGUUGUUAAUGUGACCUUGGUCCCCUUGAAAUUUGCUCGGUAAUUUUAAGCCAAAGCAAAAUAAAGCAAUUAGAAAGGCUUCUGAUGAAUUCUUUGGGGAUGCUAAGCUGGCGUAAUAUCUUACGCAGAUCUUUGAAAAUAUCAGAGUAGUCCAAAAGUAUUUGUUUAUGACUUAUAGGGUGCAUUUGGCUCGCAUUAUGAAAGAUUACUAGGAAUAAAAGAUAUCCGAGAAUCUUAUUCUUAUUCAUCCUAUUACUAAGAAUGUGGAAUUCCUGUGUUUGGUUCGCACGGUAAUAUUAAUUAGCCAUGUUAUUUAAUAUUACAAAAAAUAUACAAUUAAUUAAUUAAUUAAUUUAUUUAAUUUUAAAUAAUGUUACGAAAAGUUUCAAUAUUUUUUUAGAAAAAAGGGACAGAGAGUAUAAGUUAGAGAGAGAGAGCAUAAUUAAAAAAAUAAAAAGAAAAAUAUAGUCGAAAUUAGAGGGAGUGAGAGAGUUGAAAUUUUAGAAAGAGAGAGAGAGAGAGAGAGCUUAGUUUAGAGAGAGAAAAAAAAGUUGAAUUUUAGAGAGAAAAAUAAGUUUAGAGAGAGAUAUAAGGUUAGAGUGUAAAGAAAAAUAAUAUCAAUUAGCCGGCGGGUAGGAAGAAAGAAAGAGAUUAGACAUAUUAUGAUUACCCCAAUCUAUUAAUAUGAGGAUAUCCACCCUCCCUCAAGGGAAUGAGAUUACUACUUUAGGGUGAAUCUUAUUCCCAAGUGAAUCCAAUAUUACCAACUAGAUUACUUAGUGCGUUUAGCCAAACACCGCCAUAUUUUUUUAUUCCCAUUGGAUUACUAGUAAUCUUUAGAAGAUAGCGCGAACCAAACGCACCCAUAAGUCCUUAGAGCUUGCUUAUUUGCAUUUGGAGCAUGGCGAAGUGACGGUAAGAGGUUAUUGUUUUGAAUAUCCUUCCUCACACAAGGGGGGGAGCUAAGAGAAUUUCUACAUAGCUAGUGGUAAUAUAACUAGAGCACAGUUUGCUUUAAAGGAUCAUCUUAAAAGGACUUUUAUGAAAGAUGACUUUGGUCUUCUAAAUGCUGGUUUGUGAAUCGCAAGCCGUCUAACUGAGCACAAUAAGACUACAGAAGGGCUUUACAGUUUUACAGUUGCACAAAAUACUAUGGAACAGGUUGAAAGGAGUUUGUCUUUGUUAGUCACAUUUCUUGGGUGUCUUUGGCUUAACUUGAAAUUGUUUAUGAUAUAGCUUUUGACCCCUCUGACUGAACUAUUUAUACCUUGUAGUGACUGCAAUAUCAUUUAAUAAGUAUUUUUUUUUCGUCCCGACUCUUUUCUGUGGAGCAUUCUUUAUUUCCCUAUCUGCUGUAAAUCUUGCAAGUAAACCUUUGUUUUUAGUUUUGAUAUUUAGCCAAUCAAUAUGCAUUCGAGUUGCUGACCCUGAAAAAGUAAAUGUGCUGGUCAAUCGCAAGGUAGAGAAACACAAUACAUCCUUUUUGGCUUUGGGCUCUGGUGGUAUUUUAUUAUUAUUGAUGCCAACAAGGGUGAUUAGGAAUAAUCUAGCGGCAACUUGUAUAAGGACCUAGCUCAAAAUAGGAUUGAGUGGUGUAAGAGGAUUGAUAUGUCCAAUCUCAUUUUAUUUCUUUUGAGGAUUAGUAUAGCGAUCCCCAUGUAUCAUGGAAAGGAGGGCUAGUUUAGUUGAUAAGAGUUUUUGGCUUGGAAAGACAAUUUAUGUUAUUUAGCUACAUGCUGAUUUUGUCUUAUUCAGCAGAGAAAUCAUGUUUUUCUGAUUUUUCUUAGAUGCUUGGCUUAAACUUUUGGAUCUUGCAUCAUAGGGCGGGAAUCAACGUUUCUUUCUGACCCAAAGCUACUAUUACAACAGUAAUCCUCGGCAAAAUUUCUACUAGUUUGUAAUGAUAGUUUCGGUUGUAUACGACUAGUCUUUUCCAUCUUGAAGCUUAACAAAAAAGAAAGUUGCCAUUAUUUUUCUACUUGGCUUAUUAGACACAAUUUUUGCAGACAUGUUCUCUUUAGACACAAUUUUUGCAGACAUGUUCUCUUUAACCUAUUCUAUGCUUGCUUUGAAACUUACAGGAGGAUUAAAAUAGAUUAUAUUUAGUAAGUAGACUAUCAUUUUGUCUUUUAGGGUGCUAUUGUUUUUCUUAAUAGUAUCAGUUAGCUCACUCUUGAUGUUGGCUUAAAGGGGCAGCAACCUGCCUGGUGGCAUGAGGCCGGGUUGGGCCGAGUCAUGUUCAAGAUGACGGGAGGUCGGAUUGGGCCAAGUCAUGCUCGAAGUGGCGUGAGGCUGGUUAGGCCGAGUCACAAUCGAGACCCGUGAGCGCUGUCUAUAUGCUUCAAGCGAAUUAGUUGUGUAUUUCUAAUAGCUCGAGCUUUUGGGAGUAAUGAUUAGCGCCAACGAUCCAACAAGUGGUAUUAGAGCCAAAGGUUACGAGUUCGAUUUCUGCAAGCUGCGAAUUUGUACAGGGGCGAGGAAGGGGGGUGGCUUAAGGAGGCCAAGAUCCUACCAUGUGGCGGGAGUGUUAGAAAAUUGCGUACGGUAAAAACGCAGCGAAAAAAGAAUCAAACAAAUUUGAUUUUGAAAACUCUCCAGAUCCAAUCUCAAAAAUCACGCAAUUAGGAUCCCUCAUGUUCUUUAAAAUUAAAGAAGAAAAACAAGAUCGAAUCUUUACCUUUUUCGCGGAUAGAUCUUCACCUCAACUUGAUGAUCGUGGAAUUGGGUUCUCUUGAAGCCGCACACGAGUCCGGCCUCUAUAGGUUUCCACACGAGGUUGAUGAUUUGAUCGAUAUCCUCACCGGGGUGCUAGCUCCCUUGCAAAGGACGUCGUUCUUGCUAGAAAAUGGAAGAGAGAGGAGAAGAGAGAUAACCGCUAGGGUUUUCUAAAAACUCCCGUAUAUUAUAUAUAGGAAUAUAAUCCUUUUUCUAAUAAUAUAAUGAUAAUUAAGGAUAAGUACAAAUCUAGAUUUAUAUUUAUCAUUUCCUUAAUUGGUUAGAUCGAUCAAAUCCUAAUUUGAUUCGAUCUUUAUAUUAAUUUGAUCAUAUCAAAUUAAUAAUGCAACAUUUGCACAUAAGUCCUCUUAUAAUUUACUAACUAUUAGUAAGUCCUCUCUUGUAACAUUUACACUUUAAUACCACUAAUUUGUAACAAUUACAAAUUAGUCCAAUUAUCAACAUAUUGACAAUUAGGUCCUCCGGCGAUUCAAUAAUCGCGAUCUAGCUAUCCGAUCAAUCACAACCUCUUAUGUGUGUGACCCCAUAGGUUCUAUUCUAUCUGGUAGUGAGAUAUAUUUUGAUCACUAUCAACAAUAUCACUGAAACUCCUUUCAAUGGAUUAGAACAAUUCCAACUCAGCCCAAUGAGAAUUAUCGAUCAUCUAGAUAAUUCUCAUGAGUCUCACAAUCCACCAGUGACGCCUAGCAGCAUGUAGUGGCAUUCCAGUAGAAUGGAAUACUGAACCUCUUGGUGCAGUUACCGUGUGAUACAAUCCUUCUAUCAUGAGUCCCGACUAGACGGAGGUUAUGGAAUAACUCGUCAAACCCCAUCGUCUGUCAUAUGUUAAAUUUAUUCGACUCGAGUUUCUAAUAUCGGAAACCCUUUUCCGCUAUUUAUUCUGCCCUGGCCAAGGUCUUCUAAACUCGGUCUCAUAAAUCACAUAGGACUAACACCCCUAUCUACCAAGGGAGAUAGAUUCCAUCUAAGUGCGCACCCUAUUCCUACAAUGAACCUACUGCAGCCAACAUGCACCGCAAGGACCCGAAUGGCUAGGGACCAAGUGUAUGUACAGUCAAACUACAGUAACCUCAUUGUGAAUAGCCGAGGCACCGCAGGUUAAAGGACCAGUCACACUACUGCACAAUUGAGUAAGUCACUGACGAGUGAGUAGACAUCUAAGUGACUUCUCGCGUUGGUCACGCUCGGUACCCUUGUUCUCUAACAACCACCUGCAUAUUCGCUUCAGUGUCCCCACUCUGUCGACUCGAGACUCGUUUACCCAGAAAGGAAAGCGACCUAUGCACCAAUCUCACCGGAUCAAUCACCGUCCCCGUGAUGAUCCAUUGAUCGGGAGCAUUUAGAAAUUAACCACCAAUGACACAUGUCUCAAAUUCUCAACACUUGAGAAUAUAUGUCAUUAUCUUAUUAAUUCCUUGGACGAUUCAUGGACACAUACACAACAUGAAUGGAAAUAAAAAUCCAAAGUUUUUCAUAAUAUUUUAAAGUCAAAUACAAAUUUAUGUUCUAGAAAGAAUACAUUUGUCGGCUUGGUUGGCUUCUAGGGCAUACAUCUAACAGGGAGACCAGGUUGAGCUGAGUUACGUUCAAAAUGACAGGAGGUUGGAUUGGACCGAGUCAUGUUCGAAAUGACGUGAGGCUGGUUGGGCCAAGUACAAUUGAGAUCCAUCGGCGCUGUGCCUUAUGCUUUAAGUGAAUUGGUUUGUGUAUUUUUAAUAGCUCGAGCUUUGGGGAUUAAUGGUUAGUGCCAACGAUCCAACACUUGAGACAUUGACCUAUUAGGUGUGUCGAUAAUAAGAAUUCUGAAGAUUUUGUUUCUCUCGGUGCUAUUAUUUUAUUUCUAGGGAACAAUGACACCAUGAUGUUUCAAAUAGUAAACUGCGCAGAGUGGUUGCACCAACUUGCCAUUAGCUGUUCUGUCUUGUUGGAAAAUCUAGAGCAUAAAUGGCCCUUAACAAUUGUCUCCUUUGGAUAGAAAGUAAAUAGUGAUAUCUGAGUAUUCCCCUUGGUAGAUCUUGACUUCUGUCUGCUUGGGGAAAAAAAAAAACAUAUUAUUUCAUGUUAUCCGGAAUGAAACUUUUUAGAUCAUGCUGUUUCAAGCAAUGCCGCUGCUUCAUUAGAGUAUUUUAUUGUUAGUUUGUCUUUAGGAACUUAAAUAUGCUCACUACAACUUUGAUGUUAUAAAACUUCUAAUUUGAUGCAAUGCUAUUGUCACGAUCUUCAUAAUUUUCUUUUCUUUUGUAUCUUUCAAAAAGGCUUCGAAAGAAGAAACAAGAGAGACUCUCCCCAGUAGGGUGAUAGAGACAGAAUGCAAGGUUAGUCUUUUAACUAUUUUUCUUGUUGUUCCUUUUCUGUUUCCUUUUUUUUUUGGUUGUUCUUUGAUAUUUAAUUAUAUGUUGAAGAGAAUUUUGCAUUUUUGGUUAUAUAAAUGCGUAAAAUAAUUUUAUUUUCUUCUUAACAGGAAAACUUCUUGUCUAUACUAGAUGAUAUACAUCUCAUUAGUGUCUUGCAUGUAGUAUUAGUUUCUUUCUCAGGAGUCCGCUUCGAUCCAGAGCCUCGAAAAUCCUAGGUUGAUGGCCUUUGUUGUGCAACAAAGUUUUUGAUUUACGUAUGUUUGUCAAAUUUGGGAUUCUACUCUGCUAUCUCAUCUCCUGAAUAGUUUCUUGCAUGUAAUAUUAGUUUUCUUAUGAAUUUAGUUGUGCAACCAGAUUUUUAAUUUAGGCGUACAUGCCAAAUUUGGAAUUCAACUAUGCUAUCUCAUCUCUUCGAGCAUAUACUGAAAUAUGAAAGGAAGAAACUCGUCGAUACACCAGUAGUUACCGACUUUUGUUUGAUAGGUCCUUUGUGCUGAAACAAAAACUUUUUCUAGAGAACAUCUAAGUAUCCUAGCAUGCAACAUAUGUUUUCAAGAUGUAAAGGGGCGUAAAAAAUAAUCUGCUGAUCAUUGUCAUUUAUUAGAUUUAUUUAUUUAUUUAUUACUUUCGCUUCUCAUUUAUACCUUGUAGAAGGCAACUAAAGAGAAGCAGAAUGAAACGGCGGAGCAAAAAGAAACCGAGAAUGAAAAGGUGGAGAAAAAAGAAAUUGAGAAUGAAAAGGUGGAGCAAAAGGAAACUGAUGUCAGCAUUUAAUCUUGUGCACUUUGUCUCUACUAAUGCUCGUAUUUAAUCUAUGUCAACACUUAAUUUUUUGAAAUAUUGGUUAUGCCAUGUGGUCAUUGUGUUCUUUUCUUCCGGUGAAGUCUAAUUGCUUCGACAUACUUUCUCCAUUUUCAACUGAUUCUUUUUUUAGUUCUUAUUUACAUAUCACUGUUUCUUUAUAUUUUAUUAUUACAUGUAUCCAAGAAGGCAGAAAAUCUGCUUUCAAGAGGUGAAGCAGAACAAGCUAAUGUCAGCAUUCAUCAAUAAUUAAGAGUAAUUUCUUGCAUUUAGUAUUAGUUUCCUUAUUAACUAAGUUGUGGAACAAAGUUUUUGAUUUAGAUGUAUGCGUCAAACUUGGCAUUUAACUCUGCUAUCUCAUCUCUUUAGUUUCUUGGAUGGAGUAUUAGUUUCUUAUCAACUUAGUUGUGCACUUGACUCUUUCUGGACAACAUCUAAGUAUCUUAACAUGCAGUAUAUGUACAAGAUGUAAAGGGGCAUGAAAAAUAAUCUGGCAACUUGAUAGUAGUUGUAAAUGUAAACUGAGCAAUGAGCAUGCAGUAUAUGUCUUGAUCAUUCUGCACUCUUGAGUUUGAUUAGUUGUCCUGGUCAUUAAGCUUCAGCCAAAUGUCUUGGACUCUUUGUGAGAGGUCGUCUAAGGCAUAGUUUUGUUCUGAGUGUAUGACCUGUUUUUCGUUGCUAGUCCCAUCAUUACUUACCAUAAUAUUUUAAGUUAUUAGUACUGUAAUUGUUGUUAGGAAGAAACCAUUUGUGUAUGAUGUGGACUUAGACCAGAAGCAGUUGUAUAUGAUUCAUGUUCUACUUAAUUAAGUGUAAGAAAAGUUUGAGGCCUCAGAAAUCUUGGAUGAUAGUUUGAUUUUGUUAUCUAUUUCUUGCUUUUCAAGGUUUUUUCUCGAUAAUGUCAUUUGACAAUUAUAUAGAAAAUAGUUUAAUUGUGCUGUUUAUGUUCUUAAUUCUGCCCUUGUGUAAUUUUAUUCUAUUCCUUGUUUUGCCUUUAUUUUUGACAAAAGCCUGCUCAAGAAAAAGGAAAGGAAGCUACAGCACAGAGUGGUGGUCAGAAAGAAUGCAAGGUAAGAAGCUCUUUUUCCACAGCUUCUUCCUGAUUUUCCUUCUUUCUUCAUCCUUUUCUAGGCAUGUGCAAUCUGAAGUUAAACCAGAUUUGGAAUUCUUUAAAAGAAACAUUAUGUUUACACAAAUAAAACCAUAUUGAUCUUUGAUCACCAACAUAAUUAGUAAUCGGCUUGCAGACUCUUGGUUUGAGAUCUUUUUCUUUUUGCUGCCUCUAUGCCCUGUUGAAAAUAAAAUGAUGCUACAAUUACAGUAGAUACAAAUCUUACUCGAGCUUUGGCAAGGUUUGUUCUUGCCUAUUUCCAAACAAGUCCUAGUUCUUAGUUCUUAAGGUUAGGCAUUCUUUGAGAUAUUAGAUGUUUAUGCAGAAGUGAGACCUAGUUCCAGUAUUGAGCAACUACUACAAUGGCAUAUGUGGUUCAAAUGGGAACUGAAAUUCGAAUAGGAGUCAAAAUGGAUCGGAAUUUAAAAUGGAAUGAUGAAAUCUCCUAAUUUGUUUUUUUUCAUAAUAGGAAUGGGAAUUGGUACAGUUGAUUCCCCUUAUUACUGUGGUUGAGUAAAGUUCAGUUGGCUUUAGGAGUAUUUAAAAUAGAACAGACAACUCAAAAUGUAAAUUGAAUUCAACACUCAAAAUAUGAAAUUCAAAUCGAAACUUCACAAUUAGAAUUUGACUUCGAAUUUGAAUUCAUGCUUAGAAUUUAAAACUCUAAUGCAAAUUUGGAUCCACAAUUUGAAUAUUUAAUUUUGUUUAUUUGAGUCAAAUUUGAAUUCAAAAUGAGAUAUUGAUUCACAAUUCAAAUUUUAUUCAAAUUGAAAUUAAAUAAUAAAAUUAAUCUUAGAAACAAAUGUAUACAAAAAUUAAGUAUUGAGUAAAAUUCUAAUUUUAGCUAAAAUUUAAACCCGCUAAUAAAUUCAUAAUUAAAAUUUGAAUCCAAAUUUCAUAUGAGAAUUUCAUGUAUAAUUUGAAUUCACAAUUCAAAUUCAAGUUCAAAGUUAAAAUUAGAACUAAAUUCAAAUAUUAAACUUUUAUUGGAAUUUACAGUUGAACUUUAGAAAUAAAAACUUCAAUUUGAAUCCAUAAUUCAAAUUUGAAAUUAUAAUUUAAUCUGAGUUUAAAUUUAGAAUUAUAUUUGAAUUUUGUUAAAAAAAGAAAAGAAGGAUUCUUUUCUCAAUUCCCUCUGGAACUAAGUUUACUCCUACUUCCUUUAUUGGAGUCAUCUGGGGAGAGAAAGUAGGGAGAGGGAUUCAUUCCCUCCCGUAUGAGACUGGAAUUCAAAUCCCUUGAACCAUAUACAAAUGAUGGGGGUGACAUGCCUAUUUGUCAUGCCCCGCUCUCUAGGGGGUCGCCCAUUCUAGAAUUACUCUAGCUCUAGCACGCUUAACCCUUUUAACCUCUUGGGCCUAGCCAUAACCCAAAAUGCUAUAGCUGGAUUAAGAGGUUUAACACUAUUAUACCUUAUAUAUAGAACUAUUCUAAAUCUAAGGGGUGUCACAUUUCUCCCCCCUUUAAGCUAUGACGUCCUUGUCAGACACUUACAAGCACCAGGCGAUAUGAGACUCAUCUCGCUUGCCUUAACCGACCUUGUGAGGAGCUGCACUCCACCCACAACAGCCGCGCUCUCUCCACGGUAUGACCCUUGCUCAGUUGAGACUCAUUUCACAGUUCUGGGUGGUGAUUGGCUCUAAUACCAAGUGUGACGCGUCGCUUUCUAGGGGGUUACCCAUCCUAAAACUGCUCUAGUUUAGUACACUUAAUCCUCUUACCCUCUUGGGCCUAACCACCGUCCAAAAUAUUAUAGCCGAGUUUAGAGGUUUAACCUAUUAUACCUCAUAUAUAGGACUAUUCCAAAUUCUAGGGGUGUCACACUAUUCCCAUUCCAAGGCUCCAAUCCUUUAAACCAAACAUUCCUUAAGGUCAUCCUUCAGAGACCUACUUGUAGGCCUUCUUCAAACUCUUGGUACGCUAUUCCAUCAAUGAGAUCUAGAUCUAGUAUUAAAGCAACUGCUAAAAGACCAACUUGCAUGCCCCAAAAAAAAGGUUGUUUUGCAUAGUAGUCCCUAAAGGCUUUUGAUUUUGCAUUUAAUUUUCUCAAAAGUUGUCCUCCACAAGCUAGUCCAUCCUUAGUUGCACAUAUUGGUCCUUCAGGUGAGCUUAACAACAGAUUGAAACAAUAUUCCAAGGUUCCUUUGGUCAACUUAACAGCAGAUUUAAAGGAUAUUCUAAUUGUUAAAAUCGGAACGGCGAAAAAUAGAUUUAGAAAAUAAUUUAAUGCAGGAAACGAAAAGAUAAGGAAAGAGCACACCGAUAUUUACGUGGUUCGGCCAACGGCCUACGUUCACGGGCGAAGACGGAGCAAAUAAUUUAUUAAUGUCGAAAAUGCGAAGUACAAAGAAGAUCUCUCAAAGAACCCAAACUCUAAUUAGAUCCGAAAGUGCCGUAACAAGAAACUCCAAGUGGUUUCUCUCUCAACACCGUACGAACGACUUAAUUAAUUAGAGCUUUUGUUUCUCUCUCAACACCGUACGGAAUACCAAUACCGGCUCUUCUACCGAUGUGCAUGGCUUAACUUGGGUUGUCCUCACCGUACGGACGACAUGCAUGGAUGACUUAAUUAGAGCUCCGGCAACUCGGAAUAAUUAGCGCAUGGCAUCUUAAUUAGUCGCGGCGUCAUUAACUUGGCCGUAGCAUGUAUAUAUAAUACAUGUCUCCUAACUAGAGUCUAAUUCUAAUUCAAUUAGAAUUACACUCCUAAUUAUAAUCCAUAUAUGCCAAAUGAAAUCUAAAUAAUAUCUAAUCCCGAUUAGAUUAGGAUUUACCCUCAAUUUAGAUAACUACAAAUCUAAAACAAAUAUAACAAUCUCCACCUUGGUUUAAAUUGUAAUUUAGCCGCCGCUAUGUCGAGGUCGCCACAAAACUUCACCUUGAAUUUAAAUUCUCCUCAAUGCUCCUUAACGCUCCGUGCUCCGUCUUCUCCAAACGCCCCAUAGGGUCUCAAAUGCUGCUAACUGCCACCAAGUCCAAACAAUGUUUGAACUUGGCAAUAGUAAGGGACUUAGUAAGCAUAUCCGCCGGAUUGCCUUCAGUACCAAUUUUCUUAACAGUCACCGUGCGUUUCCCAAUCACAUCCCGAAUAAACUGAAACUUUACAUCGAUGUGCUUUGUCCUCUCAUGAAACAUCUGAUCUUUAGACAAAUGAAUAGCACUUUGAUUGUCCGAAUAAACAAUCGUAGGAUUCCAACAAGAAAUAAGCUCUCCAAAUAAGCCUCUUAACCACAUAGCUUCCUUCACACCCUCUGUCAUAGCAAUAUAUUCCGCCUCCGUCGUAGACAAGGCGACAAUAAAUUGUAGUGAAGCUUUCCAACUAACUGCACAUCCGCCAAUAGAGAAUAUAUAACCUGAAAGUGAUCUCCUCCUAUCCAAAUCACCUGCAAAAUCCGAAUUAACAUAUCCAACCACACUAUCCUUACAUCUCCCAAACUCCAAACAAGUGUUAGUGGUAUCUCGUAAGUAUCUCAAAAUCUACUUAACAGCCUGCCAAUUAGCCUUACCAGGAUUGGUCAUAUAUCUGCUAACCAUGCUCACUGCGUAGGAGAUCUCCGGCCGUGUGCAAACCUUGGCGUACAUGAUGCUCCUGACAGCACUAGAAUAGGGAGCAUGUGACAUGUACUCCCGCUCAUCAUCGGACUGCAGUGAUGCCUUGGGGGAAAGUCUAAAAUGCGUCGCAAAAGGAGUGCUCACUGGUUUUGCAUCUGUCAUCCCGAAACGCUUUAGAAUUUUCUCUAUAUAUUUCUCCUAUGUUAAAUGCAGUAGUCCUGACUUGUUGUCCCUCUUAAUUUCCAUACCAAGAAUUUUCUUAGCAGCACCUAGAUCUUUCAUCUCAAACUCAUCCUUCAGUAAAGUCUUCAAUUUAUUUAUCUUAAUUAUGUCGCUGGAAGCAAUUAACAUAUUAUCGACAUAGAGCAACAAAUAUAUGAAAGAUCCCUUAUCAAGCUUUUUGAAGUAUACGCAACUGUCAUGCUUGCUUCUAGAGUAUCCGUGACCUGUCAUGAAGGAGUCGAACCGCUUGUACCAUUGUCGAGGAGACUGCUUUAAGCUAUAAAGCGAUUUCCUUAACAAGCAAACAUGGUCCUCCUUCCCUUCAACAAUGAAUCCCUCCGGUUGUUUCAUAUAAAUUUGCUCCUCAAGUUCUCCAUGCAGAAAAGUUGUCUUAACAUCAAGCUGCUCAAGAUACAGGUCAUUCAUGGCUACUAACGAUAAAAGAACACGAAUAAAAGUAUGCUUCACGACGGGUGAGAAAAUAUCAUUAAAGUCAACACCUUCUACCUGACUGUAGUCUUUAACAACUAAACGAGUUUUAUACCUUGUAUCUUCCACGCCGGGGAUUCCGUCCUUUUUCUUGAAGACCCACUUGCAGCCAACAAUUUUCUUGCCUGUAGGCGGUUUUACCAACUCCCAUGUGCGAUUCUUAUGGAGAGACUCCAUCUCCUCAUUCAUCGCCACCAACCACUCUGCAGAACUGGCAUCGGAAAUAGCUUGAUUAUAUUUCGAAGGUUCACCUUCUUCUUCUGUAUCUUGUGCCACUGAAAGAGCGUAAGCAACCAUAUCUUCAUAACCGUAUCUUUGCGGUGGUUUGAUCUGUCUCCUCGCUCUGCCUGUAGUAAUGCUCUGCCUCUCAACUUGUGGGGUUUCAGUUACUGAGGUGUCUGCUGACUGAACUUGUUCUGACUGAGAAGAAUUCUGUGACUGAACUAUGCCAUCGGUCUCUACCUCCACCUGCUUGCUAGCAAUCGGGGUCUCAUCAGAAGAAUUACGGUUAGAAUAUAACAUAGCAGAUUCAUCAAAUAUAACAUCCCUACUAAUAAUUAAUUUAGACGAUUCAGGACACCACAAUCUAUAUCCCUUAACCCCCGAUGCAUAACCAAUAAAAAUGCACUUUUUAGCCCUAGGUUCUAACUUGCCUUCAUUAACAUGAACAUAAGCAGGACAAUCAAAUAUUCGCAAAUUAGAAUAAUCAGAAGGGCUGCCAGACCAUACCUCCUCCAGAGUUUUACAAUCAAGUGCUGAAUGUGGAGAUCGAUUCACCAAAUAGCAUGCCGUAGAGAUCGCCUCUGCCCAGAAACUCUUCGCUAGGCCAGUAUUAGAGAGCAUACAACGGGCUCUCUCCAAAAGAGUUUUAUUCAUCCGUUCGGCCACUCCAUUCUGCUUUAGAGCAUGCCUAACGGUCUUAUGUCGAACGAUUCCUUCUUUCUUGCAGAAUUCUUCAAACUCUGACGAACAGAAUUCCAAACCAUUGUCAAUCCUUAAUCUCUUGAUCUUUUUUUCAGUUUGCUUCUCAAUCAUGACCUUCCACUGCUUGAAAUAAUUGAACACCUCAUUCUUACUUUUCAGAAAGAACGCCCACUCUUUACGAGAAUAAUCGUCAAUAAAAGUCAACAUAUAUUUAGCACCACCAUGAGUAGGAGUACGAGAGGGUCCCUAAAGAUCAGAAUGAAUAUAGUCCAGAGUACCUUUUGUUCGGUGAACUGCGGCCUUAAAGCUGACUCUCUUUUGUUUGCCAAGAACACAAUGCUCGCAGAAGUCCAACUUGUCUAAACUUUGACUACCAAGUAGACCUCUUUCGCCCAACUUCAUCAUACCAUAUUCACUCAUAUGGCCUUGUCGCAUAUGCCAUAAUCUGGUGCUAUCCGAAUCUGACACAGAGCAAGAAGUCACCGCUGUUGAACCUGUCACAGUGGAACCCUGUAGAACAUAUAACAUGUCGGACAACUUGGCCUUCAUCACUACAAGAUUCCCUUUAGCGACCUUCAUUAAUUCCAUCAGCUGAAGAAUACUUAAAGCCUUUAAUAUCAAGUGUACCUAAUGAGAUCAGAUUUUUUCUCAUAUCCGGAACAUGCCGAACCUCAUAUAUAGUCCUCACUACUCCAUCAAACAUCCGUACCCGAACAGUGCCAAUUCCAAUAACUAUACACUUACAGUGAUUUCCAAUCAAUACAUCUCCACCUUGAAUAGGUAUGUACGUUGAGAACCAUUCUUUAUGCGUGCAGAUAUGGAAGGAACAUGCGGAGUCCAUAAGCCACUCAUCCUGUUUGCAUGUCUUAUCCGUAACUGUGAAGACGAUAUCAUUUUUAUCUGAUUCUCCUGCUGCAACACUUGCUUCUGCUUCAGUAUUGGUGUUUUUCUGACUUUGAUUCUUAUCACCGUUAUUCUUCCGCUGCUCUUUAUUUUUCAAUUUGAAACAAUCAGCUUUUAUGUGACCCUUUUUCUUACAAUAACCACAAAUCAGAUUCCUGUGCUUUGACUUUGAUAUAGAUGUACCUCUAUUACCGGAACCCUUCUCCCGAGACCUCCCUCUAGCGACCAAACCUUGUCCUGAAGCUCCACCUAUCUCUGUUGUUUAUGCUGUACUGUCAAUUCUCGGUUCUUUUGAAAGUCAAGAUGAUUUAACAUCAUCGAGAUAUAGAGUAUCUCGUUCAAAUAGAAGGUCUCGAAACAAAAAUUCUUUAAAGAGGCGGUAUGAGAACAUAAUAAUAAAAGGCUUCAGAUAUUCCCUCGAUUUUAACAUCUAUUCGAGCGAAUUCCAUAAGUAAUAGAAUUAACAUUCAGUCUAAAUGCGACUUAAUAGAGGCUGUCCUUCCGCCUGCGUCAACAUAAAGAACGCAUGCUUGCACAAUAUAAUAUUGUUUGGUGAGAGAUUUCGUGCAUGUAGAGAUGAGCCUAAUUUAAGCCAAAGCCCUGUAGCGGUCUUUUCAUCAAGACUCGCACAAUACCAUCAUCGAUAAACAUAAUUGUAUUGCCGUAAGUUUAUGCAUCAAUCUCCUCCAUUCUGGCUCCACCGUCAAACGAGAUCGGACAUCUUUUUUUUCCCAACAGUUGCCUUCUGCAAUCCUUGCUGUUCAAUACCACGCAUCGCUUGACUUGCCAUAAUGCCGAAAAUGUUGGGUCCUGUAAAUUUCUAAUCUCGAGCUUCGUCGUCAUCUGUAAUCCCAUAGGAACUAGAACAUCUCUGAACCAGUUGUUAACAAUCAAGUCGCGAAACAUUUAGAUUCAGAACAAAUAAUUAUAUGCCAGGAAACGAAAAAGAUAAGGAAAGAGCAGCACCGAUAUUUACGUGUUCGGCCAACGCGAUAUACGUGGUUCGCCAACGGCCUACGUCACGGCGAAAACGGAGCCAAAUAAUUUAUUAAUGUCGAAAAGGCGAAGUACACAAGAAGAUCUCUCAAAGACCCGAACUCAUAAUUAGAAUCCCGAAAGUGCCGCAACAAUCAGAAACUCCAAGUGGCUUCUCUCUCAAACACCGUACGAACGGACUUAAUUAAUUAGAGCUUUUGCUUCUCAUCUCAACAUCCGUCGGAAACCAAUACCGCAUCUUCUACCCUGAUGUGGCAUGCUUAACUUGGGUGUCCUCACCGUACGACGACAUGCAUGAUUGACUUAUAUUAGAGGCUCCCGGCACUCGGAUAAUUAGCAGGCAUCUUAAAUUAGUCGCGGCAUGCAUUAACUUGGCCGUAGCCAUGUAUAUAUUAAUACAUGUCUCCUAACUAGAGUCUAAAUUCUAAUUCAUAGAAUUUCAACUGACUCAAUUAUAAAUGCCAUUAUGCCAAAUGAAAUCUAAAUAAUAGCAAUCCCCUGAUUAGAUUAGGAUUUACGCUCAAUUUAGAUACUGACAUAAUUGCUAAACCAAAUAUAACACUAAUAAUAUAUCGGGUAUAAGUUUUUUGACAGAUACCGCUUAGCGAUGCUUGCUUUGUAACAUUGACACCAUUUAGCAUGCUUUGCCAAAACGCUUGUGAUAACGCUAUCCUUUCCUCGUUUGUGACUCUUAGGCGUUCAUCAAAGGAAUGAAAGAUCAUAAGAUACACAUUAUAGACUAAGCAACAAAUUAAGAAAGAAAAUGAAAUAAUACUUCCACGCCUAGGCAAUAUAAAUCUCCUAGGCUUCCCAUUGACCAUUAUCGAGACGAUGAAAUACUAUCUUGAGAAGGCAUAUUACUCUUUUGAGGGAGGUGAGCGAGCAGAGAAUAGGUUUAAUGUUUAAAGGAGCGUAAGUGGAUUUUGGGGAAGGAGAGCCCUAUUUCUGACAUGUUGAGGUAUAAUUACCUUUUAUCUUCCUAAAAAUAACCUCCUCGUGAAUUUUAUUGUACCAAUAUGCAUGAGGAGAAGGAUUUGAGAAACUAUCAAAUCAAUAACAAGAAUUCAGGAACUACAUACAACAAUUGAAAAGUUUGAGUUUUAUGCAAAAAUAUGCCCAAAAAUAUUUUUAUCUUAUAAAAGUAAAAUAAAUAGAUCAGCUCUGUAGGUUGAUCCGUACUUAGAAUGAAAAAGAAACUAUGCUUUAUCUAUGUCAAAUCUCUCCAACUUCAUUGCCUUAACAAAAUAUACCUUCUCCUGGAAGCUGUUUAUAUGUCCAGAGGUACUCUUAGUGACUUCUAGCUAUUUGUUCAACUGGAUUUUUUUCUUUUUUUAAUCUGGUGUUGCUUUUAGAACUCUUAGUAGUUUUUAAAUGAUACUUUAUUGUUUCAUCCUGGUUCAUUCAUCAUUUGUGUUUGUGAUUUGAUAAUCUUGUUGAAUUUAACAAAUGAGGCAUUUUGCAGUUCUAUUCAAUGCCGGAGGGCUGUAAAAUAUGGACGGAUCCUGUCGGUUUGCUCAUCAUUUAGGAAAAUCG